GAUUGGGGCCUGCAUUGAUCUUUUACAGUCGGCUACCAAAUGCAAAAUAAGCUUAGAUAUAUGUUUUAAUCACUUCCACAUAUCUUUUUUUUUUUUUAAAGUAGAAAAAUAGGAUAAAAACAGAGGAAAACAUGGGAAAAGAGCUUGCAUUGCAUGCCUGUGGUUUUCUUUCUUUGGAAUAUGCAACUGGAUGAAGAACAAAAAGAGAACAAAUAAAUAAAUUAAAAAAAAAGAAGUAAGAAUGGAAGGUCUGUGAUGGAUUUGUCUUAUUCAGGUCAACCCAAGUCCUUGCUUCUGUGGUGCAUCAGCUGUAUAGGUACAGCCGCUCACAUGAUAGGCACGUGAUGUUUUUUAAAAACAAGAGGAACCGGCUGUUUUGGGUAACAGGUUAAAAGAAGGAAAACAAAACCACGCGCUCGUUCUUCAGCUUGCUCUGAACUGUCGCUCGUCCUACUCCUCUGUAUUGUGGAGCUGGAUAGUCUCGACGGCGCAAACCGGUGGCAGAGGACGGGUCGGACUCGCUUGAAUCGUCUCAGAGCUGCGUCGGCCUUUCGGACCUGCGAUCGUUGUGUCGUCGUGUGAAGAUGCGUUAGAGUUGUUGGGUGGUGCUGCGUUCACGGCAGCAGCGGCAGCGGCGCUGAUAUUGUUGGGAAACGUCAUCGUCGUGGAGGCUUCAACUUCGCCUUCGGCGUUCGUACAAAACGUCAUCUACUCAACAAGAUUGCCGUCUUCUCCAAUUCCUACUGCCCGUAUGUUAUUAUCUCUCUAUUGCUUGUUCAUUUUGGCUUUUGUGAUAAAUUUAAGGUAUUGGGAUUGGAAAUUCAUAAAGCAAUCAAAUGGAAUUUGAGAAUUGUGAGUUGGUCAAUUUGAUAAUUAUGAGAAAUAUUUAGAGUGUUCAUGUUGAGGAAAAUAUGAAUCCAUCAUCUCAAAUGGGACCUUUAUACUAAUUUAUAGAUUACUUUUCAUUUUCAUGGAUUUAUUGCAUUGUUUUCUAAUUCUGGGAAAUAAAUUGCUGCGUUUCAUCUACUAAAUCUUCAGCUUUCUGUUAUUGAAAUAGUUCGCAAGUUGAGUAGAAAUGUUUAGAAAAAGAACUCUGUGCAUGCCUGUGUGUGAAUUUAAGUAAUGUUGAAAUGAGAGAUUGUGUGCUGUUUUGUGGAUUCUUCUUUGAGGGUCUCUUGCUUGGUGAGAAUUGUAGAGACAGAGAAAGGGAAAGUGGGUAGACAGAGCCAAACUCUCACCCAGAAGCAGCUCCUCAUCACUUUCACGUGGUACAACAAAAUUUCAGGCCAAAGCUUGACCAUCAACGUUGGGGACAAAGACAAUACCCCAUCACCAUUCAAAUUCAAUUUCAAUUCACAUGCAUCUGGCUGGGAGAUUUUAGUUCCCACGCAUCUGGCUUCUCUUCGUUGUUGUUUCUUUGUUUUUUCUCUCUUAUUUUUUAAUUUAUUUAGAGCAACAAGUUUGGGUUUUGUAAAUUUUUCUUCCUUCAAAUUUUCCCUUGUCCUUUUUUUAAAAUAAAAAUUAAUAUGAGGUUCUCUAAUCUAUUAAAUUAGAUUUUUUUAAUCGUAGCGUAAGAUUUCAUUUUAUUGUAAAAAAAAUUCAUUCAUCUUAGUCAUCAAAGAAAAUAGAGCAUUGAGAUACCAGUUAGAGAAGAAGAAAGAGAAGAAGAAGAAGAAGAUGAAAAGAGAGGUUGUGGUGAGGUUCAAUCAGGGGUUUGGGUUUAAUGGUGGUGGAGGUGGUGGUGGGAAAGAUGACGGAGCUACUGCUAGAGGCAGCUUGGUUGGAUUUUGGAUGCAAUUGUUUCCAUUUGCGUACUCUCUUUCAUUUAGCAACUGAUUUGGGGUUCUUCUCACAAAUCUUAGUUCCUUUACAUUUCUGAAAAAAAAAACAGGUAGUUUUAUACUAUUUUUGUUUCUAAUAUAAUCAUUUUUAUUUUUGACUCUGACAUCAGCAUGUAGGAUUAUAUCUCUAAUGAAAUUGAUGCCUUUCCACAUCCAGCUCCUUGCAGUGCUUGUAGCAAUUGUUGGUGUGGGUGCUUUUCUGUGGUGGGCAAGGCAGGAUAUGGUUCAAGACAGUGUAAGGCUACUUCUAUUUUUUCUCUUGCUCACUUCUUAAAGCUCAUAGUUUUCUUCAAAUGUGGUAUCAAACAUCUGUUGUUGCCUAGUUAAAACACAACCCAAGUUGUUGAGUGCCUUAAGUUCCAUGCUCUCAAUUUAAUUUCCAUGUUGGCACCUACAAGUGACUGGUAAAACCUUUUUAAUUAUUUAUGUCAGGUUCAAUUAUUUUUUAAAAAUAUAUUAGGUCUUACAUGAUGUUUUGGCAUUUGUGGACGGUUAAUUUAUCAAUCUACAGAUCUUCUAGUGGAUAGUGUACCGUGUACCGAAAUGCUCUAUGAUUUUCUUUUAUUUGGAGUUGACAAUUAAGUAAUGUUGGUGUGCUCUUGAUUUCAAAAAACUGUAUCACAGGUGGUAUAUAAACAGGUAAUCUGGAUUGGUGUUGGAUAGUUUCCAUGAAUAGGCAUGUAGAAAUCUAUUGUGUUAUAAUGAGUUCAUGCUUUCCCAUGUGAGAUGUAUCAGAUAAAUGCAUGAUAUGUAUAGGAUGUUUGGAAAGGGUUUAAGUACGCAAGUGAUACUCUUUCAUGUAACAAUUCACAAACGCUUCAUCUACAUCUUGUAAUUAAGUAAUGUCAGAGUAACAUCAUGAGGGUGAUUUUCAAUUGUGAAGUUUUAUUUAUUUCUUACUCUGAUGUCUUCUGCUUUUAAUGAACAACAACCAUUGUUCCCAUAAAGUGCCAUAUAGUGAGGACUUGAGAAAAUGGUUAUGCGCCAUAUGUUGUUCCCAUAAAGUGCCAUAUAGUAAGGAUGGAUUUCCCAUAAAGGUUUUCUUAUACUGUGUUGCUCGUGAUCUUCUAAUUGCUCGUGAUCUUCUAAUUGCUCGUGAUCUUCUAAGUGCUAGAUAACUUAGUUCAUUUUGAGUAUUUUUAGUUUUAAAUGUAAUUUUUAUUGUGAUUUAAAUAUCAUGUUACAAUGGAUAGAUUUGCAGGUUGUAUGUAAUUAUAUUUAUUUUAAUUAGUUUGCAAUUUCAAUUUUCAAUUUAUUUUUUAAUAUUUAUUUUAUUAUUAGGUUUAGCUUGGUUUUGCUACUGAAUGAGUUAUGAAGCUUUGCAGAAGUGAAUUAACAUAAAUUAACCAAUGCCCCAUUGGUUAUGUUGGUUGUUGAUUGAUUACAAACAAAACAGAUGGAGGAAAGGGUAAUUGUACACCGCUGUCUAGUUUUUGUAUCAUGGGACGUGCAAUUGCGCAGUCUCUUUAAAGCCUAAACUUGAAUAAAAUUCAUUUUUAAUGACUUUUGUAAACCAGGAUAUGCAAUUGCAUACCAUUUAUGCAAUAGUUGACCCUAUAUAUGCAAUUAUUAUCAUUUGUACAAACAAAUUUCACUCUCGUAAGUAGACAAACUAGUGUAGAUUUAAUAAGCAAGUGAAACUUUUUCAGGUUUUUGGAACUCAAAUGGUUUUCAGGUUCUUAUACUCGAGAUCGAUAUUUUAAUCAUUACCCUUAACGUGGAUAGUGAUGAAUCCAAUUUCUGCUAGACCUGGCAAAUGGAUUUGGGGUCAUGUUCGUGUUAACCCGUUAAUUUAAUGGGUUGACACGACACGACCAGUUAAGCUAACAGGUGAGAAAUACCAUACUCAAACACAACCCAUUAAGAAUAAACUAGGAAAUAUAUAUAUAUAUAUAUAUAUAUAUCCCAAAACAAGCUAGCAACCCCCUAUCUCUGCCCUUUUUCUCCCAAUUUUCAUCUUUCAUAAACACCAUCCAAAAAUCUACAAGUUCAGGAUUAGUCUUGCAUAAUGAUAAAACAAGAGAAGCAAAAUGUUGGUUGAUUAGAUUAUUUAUAUAUAAUUAAAAAAAAAUAAAGGGAGGGAGAGAAGAAGAGAAGAAAAAAAUGGAGAGAAAAGAAAGAGAUGGAGAGAAUAAGAAGAAGAAGAAGAAAAAAAGGGAGAGAAGAAGAGAAGAAAAAAAAAUGGAGGGGAGAGAUGGACAAUUUCCGAAAGGGGAGAAGAACAGGAAAAAAGUGAGAGAUUGAGGAAUGUAGAGAAGAGAAAAAAAGAGAGGGGGAGAUGAGAAAGUCGACGAAGAGAGGAAGUGGAAUGAAGGAAAAAUAAUAUUAGAGAGAGAGAGAGAGAGAGAGAGAGAGAAGGAAAAUAAGAAAGAAUUUUAUUUUAUUUUUUUUAAAAAGGCAUGAUGUUGGGGAUAUGAGAUAUUUAAAAAAUAUAUAUUUAAAAAAAAUACAGAAUUACUCUCCUUAACGGGUGGAUGCAAUAUUCGCAAAUUGACCCGACACGACUCGUUAGCUUAAUGGGUUCACUCGUUUUCAACCCGACCCAUUAAGUUCAACCCAAAUAUUGAUAAUUUGAUGCGAAUUCGUGUCAUGUUAACGGGUCGUGUGCAAUAUUGCUGGGUCUAAUUUCUGCACCUCACAAAGGUAAGGUCAAGGAUUGAAAUAUCGGCCGUGCAGAUAAUAUAGGGCCUCCAAUUUAUGGAAAUUUCGAGGAAUAUAUCGUUAUCGUUUUAGGUAUCGGGAAAAAAUCAACAAAAAUGACAAAUAUAAGCAUUGAAAUACGUAAUUUUGGUGUAAAAUGUUCAUAAAUGUUAUGUACAUUAUCAAUGAUUGUAUUAAAAAUUAGGAUUAACCGAACUAGUAGGCAGGGGAGGCCUUGGCAUGAUGCAAGUGGUGCCACUGCAUAGGGCUCCUAAUUUUUUAGGACCUCCGAAUUUCUUUUACUUUAUGUAAUAUAUAUUAAUAUUAUAACAACUGUAUAUAUACUCCAACGUGCCGCACAUUGACACAAAAUUUUAUUUUGUGGAUUUGGUUUCUAGUGCAUAUCCUUUGGUACAAGGUCUAGGUUUGAGUUGGUCUAGGUUUGAGUCUUAGUUAUGUGAAUAUAUUUGUAAUUUUAUUCUCUUUUUAUUAUAAGAACAAAAUUUUAAAUAGUUUUAAAAAGAAGCACGUGAAAAAAUAUAAGGGGACAAUCCAAUUAAAUUAACAAUAGUAUAUAUCACACCCAUAUGCUUUUUCUUUAAAAAAUAAUAAUAAUAAUUUCUUCGACUCAAAACAAAACAAAACAACAUAAAAAAUUAAAAAUCAUGUCUUCUUCUUUCUCAUGAACUCUUAUUUUUUCUUACCGAACAUACCAACAUUUAACUUUAUCAAAUGAACGCAACAUACUCAACGAACACAACCCUUGCGUUCGCGUGAAAAAAUAGUGCGUUUGUUUGAAAAAGAAAGUUAGUGGGGUCCAUUUUCCCGAGGAACGGAUAACUUUACUCUACGAACACACUCCUUGCGUUCGCAUGAAUAAAUAUCCCGUUUGUAUGAAAAAGUAAGUUCAUUUGGCCCAUUUUUCCGGAGAACGGGCAACUUUACUCAACGAACGCAACCUCAGCGUUCGCGUGAACAAAUAACCCGUUUGUUUGAAACAGUAAGUUAGUUGGGCCCAUUUUUCAGGGGAAUGGGCAACUUUACCCAACAAACGCAACCUCUACGUUUACGUGAACAAAUAGUCCGUUUGUUUGAAAAAGUAAUUUAGUUGGGCCCAUUUUUCAGGGAAAUGGGCAACUUUACCCAAUAAACGCAACAUCUACGUUUACGUGAACAAAUAGCCCGUUUAUUUGAAAAAUUAAGUUAGUUUGGCCCAUUUUUCCGAGGAACGGGCAACUUUUCUUAACAAAUGCAACUCCUACGUUCGCGUGAACAAAUAGCCUAUUUGUUUGAAAAAGUAAGUUAGUUGGGCCCAUUUUUUAGGAAACAGACAAGUUUACUCAACGAACGCAACCCAUUGCGUUCGCAUGAACAAAAAGCCAGUUUGUUUGAAAAAGUAAGAUAGUUGGGCCAAUUUUUCCGAAGAAGGAGCAACUUUACUCAACGAACGCAACCCCUGCGUUUACAUGAACAAAUAGCCCGUUUGUUUGAAAAAGUAAGUUAGUUUUGCCCCUUUGUUUGGGGGAACGGGCAACUUUACUCAAUGAACACAAGUCCUGCGUUUACGUGAACAAAUAGCCCGUUUGUUUGAAAAAGUAAAUUAGUUUGGCCCAUUUUUUAGAAGAACGAGCAACUUUACUCCAUGAACGCAACCCCUGCGUUUACGUGAACAAAUAGCCCGUUUGUUUGAAAAAGUGAGUUGGUUGGAUAUAUUUUUUCGGCGAACAGAAAACUCUCCUCAACGAACGCAGCUAUUGCGUUGGUGUGAAAAAAUAUCUCGUUUGUUUAAAAAAGUAAGGUGGUUGGGGCAUGUUUUCGGCGAACGGGUAACUUGUCUCCAAGAACGCACGUAUUGCGUUCAUUUGAAAAAAUACCCUGUUGGUUUAAAAAAGUAACUUUGUUGGCCUUCGUUUGUUUGAAAAAGUAAGUUAGUUUGGACCAUUUUUCCGGGGAACGGACAACUUUACUCAACGAACAUAACCUCUGCGUUGGUGUGAAUAAAUAGUCCGUUUGUUUGAAAAAGUAAAUUAGUUGGGCCCUUUUUUCCAGAGAAUGGGCAACUUUACUCAACAAACGCAACCCAUGCAUUUGAAUGAAUAAAUAGCCCGUUUGUUUGAAAAAAUAAGUUAGUUGGGCCUAUUUUUCCGAAGAAUAGGCAACUUUACUCAAAAAAUGAAACCCAUUGCGUUCGUGUGAACAAAAUAGCCCGUUUGUUUGAAAAAGAAGUUAGUGAGGCCCAUUUUUCCGAAGAACAGGCAACUUUAGUCAACAAAAGCAAGAACAAAUAGCCCGUUUGUUUAAAAAGUAAGUUAGUUAGACUCAUUUUUACGGAGAACGGGCAACUUCACUCAACGAACGCAGCCCUUGCGUUCGCGUGAACAAGUAGUAUUUGUUUGAAAAAGUAAGUUAGUUGGGUCCAAUUUCACGAGGAAUGGCCAAUUUUAAUCAACGAAUGCACCCCUUACUUCCUCGAAGUAAAAUACCUUGUUUGUUGAGUAAAUCAUGGAGUUCGUUGGGUAAUGUGGUCAACGGGCAACAUCAUUUACCCGACGAACGAGUCACUUAGCUUUCGUUAGGUAGGUUUGUUGGCAUAAAUUACUCAAUAUAACUUUCGUGAUUUACUACUAAUUUAACCCAAUGAACUAUUGGGAAUAAAAUUGAACUUUGUUGAUUGUCUCCAAUUAUUACAACAUUGUUAAUUGAAAAAAAUAUAUAAUAUCAAACAUAUGAUUGUUGAUACAAAUAUAAAUUUAAAAACUUUCAACAAAAAUUAUUACUUAAUGAUCGAUUGAUUAUGACAGGACCCGACCCAAUUUCCGCUUUGGAAUUCGAGUCGAAUCCUGUGCGUGUCCGACAUCUGGCGAAUGUCGGGCACAAAAGACCUUUUUACCCUUCUCGUCUUAAAUUCCUUUUCAGAUUUUCCUUAGACUUCUGCCGAAAUUUCGGCAGAGUCUCCCCUGUAUUUUGACCAAUCCCAAAAAAAUUUCCACCUGUUAAACAAUCAAGUAAAGCUACACCAACUGCCAGGACAGAAUACCCAAGUAUUCAUCAAUUCCAGUUUUCCACUAAAACUAGAUAUCAGAGCAUUUCUAACGUUCACAAGGUUUCAAGGACUUUUCUACAUAAUUCUACCUUACUUUUUAGAUAUUUUCUUUCUUUCUAGAUAUUUUGGUUUGGGUUAUUACAGAUUAAGCCACAUUGAAUUGAUGAAAAAGAAAAUUGGACUCUUUCGAUUAUGAUCAAUGCCCAAUUGAUAAUAUAUGAUCAUGAAUGUUUAUGACAUGAAGUGAAAGUAUGAGAAGUCUUCUUAUAUCGAGUCUCAUUGCAUAGCCCUGAUACGAACCAUAUUCCAAGUAUUAUUGUGCUAUUAUGAUUUUAGACUAAAUAUCAUAGUUGAAAACAACGAUUUUACCCAUAAAUGAUGGUGAAAUAUCCAGAAAAGAAAGCAACAUCACGUGUUUGGCUUUAUGGCAUAUAUUUAACAUCCUUUCAUAUUAUCUUAUUUUACAUAAUUCAAUUAUUUUUAACGUAUGAAAUGACCAAUUUUCCCUCAUAUUUAAUGACAGAUUGGAUGAAAUGUUAGGUAAUUAAACGGCAGGGAAGAUAUUGGCGAUAAAGACAAAUUCAUAUCCUUAAUUUUAUAAAAAAAAAUGUCAUGAGAUAAAUUGAAAAUUGGGUACAAGUUCAAGGACUAGAUCAACAAUUUAGCCAUGUUUAAUGGUUUUUGGGCAUAUAUCGCAUAUUUGAUAGCACAUGUGUGCAAUUCUCAGUUUAUAAUAUGCAUAUGCAUAAACCUGUAUGCAAUUUUGUAGCAUCUAUGUGCAAUUCUCAUUUUACAAUAUGCAAUUGCAUACAUAUGUAUGCAAUUUCGUAAUGUCUGUUUGCAAUUCUUAGUUUACAAUAUGCAAUUGCAUUCUGUUAGUAUGCAAAUUGUAUUGUCAUUUCCUAGACUCUAGCAUAGGUUGAAAAUUAGUGUGUGAAGAAUUGUUACUGGACGUUUUGGCACAACUCAUUCAACCCCAUACAUCCGAGGCUUGACUUGACCGAUAUGAGAAACUUGAUUUCAGGUAAAUCAUGACAUAAUCAUGCAUUCAUUAUAGGAUUCCUAGUUUGAGUUUUUUUGUUUUAAUAGAUAUUGUUUUUCUAUUAAAAAUUGAUUGGUUGGCGUUUUUCAAUAAGAAUCCAUAUUGAACUAAUAUUCAUGUUGGAAAACCAAUUGUGGUCUUCUUAAGAGUCCAAAUUAAGCUAAAAGUUCUCAGUUAUAAUUGAAGUGGGUUUGGUACUCGUGUGCGGCCAUCUGACUAGGUAUAGGAAGCUUUGAAUAAAAGCAGCUUGCAUCUCUUUGGUUUUUCAUAGUUUUUGAUAUUGGGUUAAGCAUAUAGAAUUCUUAAGCAAAAGCUGUUGUGCACAUAUUUGAGAUAAAUCAUCAAGUGUUCCAUGUUUACUUGGUGAUUUAUCAAACACUUUAAUCAUUCAUAUUGCAUUCAUAUGCAUGUCGGUGACUCAUACGGUUGAGUGCACCAAAACCGUGGUGGCGGUUUUCCUCCGGCGAGCUUGAAGCAAUCGUGGCCAGUAUUGCGUUCAACAUAAGGAGUGUCGAAGAUCAUCCCGUGACAGAAGUUGAGUUACGAAGAAGUCGGUAAACAUUAUCUAGAAUGAGUCUAGGAUAAGUGUGUGAGUACUUCUUGUAAUCAUCGUUCUAUAGUGGAUUUGAGUUGGACUGAGGAGUCCCGUGGAUUUUCCCCAGAGGUGGGGUUUUACCACGUAAAAUAAUUCUCUGCGUGUUCUUUUAUUUUAAGCUUUGCACAUCUCAGGAUUGAUAACUAAUAUCAAUCCUGCUUCAAAGGUUGAUCAUUAUUUAUUGCAAAAAUUCGAAUUAGCUUGUUUAACAUUCUCCAGGCAUAUAUAGAUAUCCUACAGGUAUUUUCACAUUCCGCCCUUCUUUUGGUUUUUAACUUUGUUGUUUUUACCAGAAGGCUCAUUGGAUCACACUCUUAUAAUGUAUGCAAAGAUCACCAAAUUUCCUCUUUUUGGCUAGAGGGCCUCUUUUUUGUGUGUGUUCAUUUGCAUGACAAUACGGAUAAUCUACUACUACCUAAAAGCUAUAGAAAAUUAAAUGUCAUAUAAUCUAUUUUCUCUAACCAAGACUACAUGUCACAUAAAUAAGAAAUAAGAUCUCAAAAAAGAAAUUAGAAACAGAACUGUGCAUCCAAAACCUGGGUUUAGGGAGAGAGAGAGUAUGAAAACAUGAGUUUACGAUAACUUACAUAACUCCAUACCUUUUUCAUGAUGAGCUUUCACUUACAAAAACAUUUCAAUUUAGACAUGUGAAAACUCUAAAAUUGGGUUCCCAAAUUAAAUUUCUUUGUUUUGUCAUAUAAUUCACACUAUUAACAAGAAAGAUUACGCAAGCAGUCAAUUGGAGUUUUCCCCUUCGUACCAAUUUCCUUCGGCACUACAUUCGCCAACUGCUGCCAUUUUUUGCAUUCCGGAAGUUACCUGCAAAAUGUUUAUAAUUAAAACCAAAUUGGGAAGAAGCUAAAAAAACACACUGACAAAUGACAACAAUUUGUAACCUGUGGCCUAAAGGAGGAGUUGGAAAACAUUGAAUUUUCCACUCUCAAGUUGCACCCUCUGCAGCCAAACAGAUAAGAAGGAUCAAAGCACAAAUUGAGAAUUGGAGUUUCGUAUGCAUUUAGUUUUAUUUUUGCCCAAUUAUUUCAGAGAGAGAGAGAGAGAGAGAGAUUACACGGGAAGCAGGUGAGAAAGUGAAGCCUAGUGUGUGCAGGAAGCCAUCAUUGUGCAUUGGCCUCUGCGUUAUCCUCCACUUCGAUCUUAGGUUUAGAGUUUUAGCGGUUCUUGUAUAAAUUGAUAGUACCUGCCUUCUACUUUAACUCAAUAUCUCAAGAGCAAUGAUAUUAUUUCUUUCACAAAGAAAAAGAUACAAUUUCUCAACUAACUCCCUCAAAUACAGACUCACUUAGUUAAUAUAGAGUUAACCUAACCAACUGUCAACUAAGCAUAGCCUAACUAAUGGUUAACAACUAAGCUAGUUCCAGCUUAUAUAGAGAUUCCUAUCUACCCUCCCCACAAAAACAAUCCUUGUCCUCAAGGAUGAAAUUCUGGAAUUCGAACCAACAAGUUGCUGCCAUUUCAGUGAUGGAUGUGUGCCAUUGAACUCAUAUUGUUGUAGCAAUAUAUUAAUUGGUUGGCUUGAACAAGGCCACCAUCAGAGCAUGCAAUUACAGAGAUGCUGAACCAAACAAUGCUCAUGGUCUCACUGCUGCUGGAUUGGCAGCCCACCCACAUAAAACUCCCCAAUUAUUGGAAAGCUCACUAACACAUCAAUGGCUCCAAGUCCUUUGGAAUGAGCCCUGGGAGAAAGAAGUAAAGCUCUCAAUGACUCAAGCUCAUAGCCAUAAACCUUGCAGAAAUUUUCUUCUUUUCCAGUAUGCCCAUUAUCAACUUCAAAUCCACCACCUUGGCCACGUAUGCCCAGAAGGUAGCCAACAUCAAAAUCAAGAAUGCAAUUACCCAACGGAAGAGUAAAAACAGUGUGGACACAAUCAUAAUCCUGGACCCUAACCAUUUGAAUAGUGCCAAACCAAUGAAAUUUCGUGAACUACCAGAAUCAAGGAAAAUGACAACUGAACAAUUCUUGAUAAAGCCCUGUAUAACCUUGAGCAAUUUUAGAUUUGGCGUAGAGGCUUCUUGAACAGGAACAAAACGAAGCAAGUACAAGUCCUGGCGAAGCUCUCUGCCAUCAACCCUCCAAUGAAGCAACUCGUGAGAAACUCACCACCACCAUCGUCUCGAAUGCCCAUAUGGUAGCCAAGAUCAAAAUCAAGAAGUGCAGUACCGCCAUUGCAUACCCAACAUGAGUGUGACAUUUCAGCAAACAAAUGGAGAGCAUGUGGUGAUCUGCCAGAUGUAUCAACCCCAAAACCCAAUUGCUUCCAAGCUUCUUGAUAAAGAUUCUUCAAAGACAAAAACCGAGUAAUCUUCUGAAUUGAACCGAUGGAAAAAGAAGACAACUAAGCAGGCAAACCUUGCGUGGAUGGUGAUUCCGGAAUCGGCGAUGUCCGAUGACUGUUGCAUCUCGGCGUCGGCAGAGGUGAGACUCCCAGAUUCUGAUUUGGGGACACAGAUGAGGAUUGGAUUUCCAAGAGAGAGAUCGAUCGCAGAGAUAAGCAGCUCCAGUGCACGUGAGGACUUCCGCACUUUUGUUGAAGCUUUUUACUUGUUUUCUCAGUCACGUGUAUGUCACGUGAUAUUUAGUAACAAAAGGCACAACAAGUCUUCCGGUCAUUCAAUCUUAGCCCUUCAUUUUUAAAAUGCAAUACUGGCCUUUGGAUUACUGGCUGCACCGGUACAGCUGAUGUUGACAGGAAACCGAAGCGGACCCCGUCUUUAUUCCGACAUCUUCCCGAUGCCGGGCCCACUUACCAAAAACUCGAGACUUUCUGCCAAAAUUUUGACAGUCUCCCUUGUAAUUUAGGCAAUCCCAACAAAAAUAAUCAACCUGCAACAAACAUAAAAUGAAAAUCCCAACCAGCAGCAUGCUUUCGCAAUUCUACAAGUCAUACUAGAAUGGCCUACGGCCUCACAAGUAAAAUCUACCAUGGGCGAUACAGAGCAUCUACUGAAUUUAGAUUGCAAGAACAGUUGAGUAGAAGAAAUUACUCAGUUCCUAACUAGAAAGGUUCACAGUUCGGGCCUCGUACACCCCUUGCACGCUUCCUGGAGCGACUACUGGCUGGGGGGCGCAAAACAGAAAAUAUGUCAGUGGACAAAAACCAGAUUUGCAGUUAAAAACAAUAUAGUAACCCCACCAUGUAAAAAUAAUGCUCAAGUCAUGCAGGUUCACAAUUCAAUAAUUAAAUUACUCAAAACUUGAUUCAUUAAAACUUUUCAAAAAACACCAGUUAUCUCCUUCAAAAAGAAUCCCAUUCUCUCAAUUUUACAACUCCUGUCAAACCACCACAAGACUCUAAUUCUUCACUCCCUCAACUAUACGUAUACAUAUAAAUAUACAUAUAUAUAAAUAUGACUAUAAAUAGCUAUACGCUAUACUCAUCACACCACCUAGGUACCGGGGAAACAAUCCAACUGGGGGAUCGUUUGACUAGUCCGCGGGAUUUCCAGGUGCUAUCCUGCGUCUAGGGAUGAGCGGUCCAACCGGGGGACGAAACUCCAAAGCUCCCACACCGGAACAUCCAACGCCAUGUGUGGCUCCCAAACUAUGUCCUACGCGCGCAGACUGGAUCAUCACACACUGGAACAUCCAACGCCAUGGUGAUGACCCUAAACUCUAUACAAGUCUUUCCAUAUGCCGGAACAUCCAACGCCGCAUAUGGAAAGUGUCUCACACGCCGGAACAUCCAACGCCGCGAGUGAGACUGAUAAUUGGGGAAGGUACUUACAUAGUGUAAUCCUACAACUUCUCUAAACAAUCCAAGUAUCUCGUCUAUAGAGAAUAUAUAUAAAUAUACUUCCCCACAAUCCAUGUAAAAUGCACUCUCAAUACCCACAAUGCCAAACUCACAAUAUAUUGCCAAGCGCUAUGCAACCACCAUUAUCAACUCAUGAAUAUAAUAUAUACUCAAAAAGCCAUUAAAACAUUAUGCAAAAUCUUUCAUCAAUUAAAAACCAUGCAUAUGAUUGAAAACAAAGUCCACUCACAGAUAUUCCCACGCUGCCUGACCACGUGAGGGUCCUGCCUGCUGAGUACGCGCAGUCGAAACACCUAUUUCGAGAUACGAACCAUUAAUUAAUAUAAAAUUACGUCGAAGUGGAAAUCACAAAUUAAAUGAUUAAUUCCCCAAAUUCCCCAUACGUGCACGUUGAAGAAGGUAUCCUAAGCUCCGAUUCCAGGUUUAGGAAUCGUUCACGAUUUUACGGUUAUCGCUAACCCGCAAACUUUGCACUAUUGAAUUGGAACAUCCGGGGCUCCGAUUCAUAAUUCGUGAAGUCCCAUACGGUCCUAGGAAUACCUAGAACAACAUAUUUUAAUUCGAGAAAGAUCUAACGGUCGGAACCUAUCGAACCCGGAUAACGCACAAUAUGCGAAAAUCCGUUCGAUAGUCAAACGACAUCCGAAUUGAGAUCCGCGAAUUCCUAUGCACUCGUGACAACCUAAGGAUCUCAUCGGGUUAAAUAGACGCCUCACCAGGCUCGCCCACGCGUCGCCACACGCGCCGCCAGCGCGUGGGUGUGUAGAGUAAUUCCGGAAAUGGGAAAACUCCACACCCAAGCUCACCCUUCCUACCCUAGCUUCUACUCAAGGUCAGGAUCACUUCAUUUAACUACAGGAAGGCCCAAUUCGGGCGGCAACUGGCCGGAAUUUCAUUUUGAAAUCCGGCCAAAACCUAGGUUUUCAAAAUCAAUUCCUACCCAGCAAAUCAAUCCAAACCUAUAGAACCAUCAGCUAGAACUCGAAAAAUGGAUGAGAAACCAUACCUCACCCGUCUGAAAUAGUGGUCGGAGGAGAGAGAACGAGUGACUGGAAUUUCAGACGAAAAUCGGCCUGAAAUUCGUGUUUCCCGACGACGUGGCGGCGGCUGACGGCGGGAGGUGGGUCGGGGAACGUCGGCGACGUCUGGCCGGAGGUUUCGGGUCCAGUCUCGCGGCUGGCCGUGGCCUGUGACGGUGGCCGUGCCUUUUGCAGUCGAAGGAGGAGGAGGGACGACGCGGGAGAGAGAGAAUCGGGAGAAAGAGAGAGAGAGGGAUAAAACUGGAAAAAUCUGAUUUUUUACUCUAACCCUUUUUGAAAUAUUUACAAGUUUGCCACUGAUACUGUUUUGCCCGUAACUUUUUCGUUACAACUCCGAAACAAGCCUACCACGUGUCUACGAAUUCGUCUCAGUACCACCUACCCAGAAAUAUCAUUCGUGGUCCCAAAAUCCUUUCGGAUAAGAAAGUGACCAAUUUACCCCUACCCCAAGGGUAAAUUGGUAAUUUUAAUUAAAUCGAUUAAAAUAAACACUUAAUUUGGAGUCGGGGUGUUACAAUCUACCCCCCUUAUAAAAAUUUCGUCCCCGAAAUUCACGUACCUAUGAAUGGAAGAGAUAAGGGUACUUGACCCUCAUUUGCGCUUCAGGCUCCCAUGUAGCUUCUUCCACGGUUUGGCUUCUCCACAGAACCUUCACUACUGGAAUAAAUCUGGAGCGCAACAUUUGCUCUUUCCUAUCCAGGAUUUGCACAGGCUGCUCUUCAUAUGACAAAUCUUCUUCUACCUCCACCGGUUGAUAUUCUAAAAUAUGAGAAGGGUCUGACAUAUAUUUCCGAAGCAUAGAUACAUGAAAUACAUCAUGGACUUGAGAUAGUUCUGCAGGUAAUGCAAGUCUAUAAGCAACAGGUCCGAUGCGUUCAGUAAUCUCAUAGGGUCCAAUAUAACGAGGGCUUAACUUCCCACGUUUCCCGAAUCUCAUCACACCCUUCCAAGGAGAUAACUUCAGAAACACCCAAUCCCCAACUGCAAAUUCAAGAUCCUUGGACCUAUUAUCUGCAUAACUCUUCUGUCGGUCUUGUGCGAUCUUCAGCUUCUCUUUAAUCAUCUUCACCUUCUCGGUUGUUGCUUGGAUACUAUCCACUUUUUCCAACUUCUUAUCUCCCACUUCAUUCCAACAAAUAGGAGUCCUACAUUGUCUCCCAUAUAACGCCUCAUAAGGAGCCAUCUUUAUACUCGCAUGAUAACUGUUAUUGUACGCAAAUUCCACCAAGGCAAGAUGAGUAUCCCAUGAAUCUUUCAUCUGCAGCACACACGACCUCAACAUAUCCUCCAAAGUCUGGAUAGUUCUUUCUGAUUGUCCAUCAGUCUGUGGGUGAAAAGCUGUGCUGAACUGCAACCUAGUACCCAUGGCUUCCUGCAAACACUUCCAGAAUCGAGAAGUGAAUCGGGCAUCCCUGUCUGAUACAAUGGACACAGGUGCUCCAUGUAAUCUCACAAUCUCAUCCACAAAAAGUUUUGCCAACUUCGUCAGAGAAUAAGUUUCCUUAAUGGGUAGGAAAUGGGUUGACUUGGUGAGUCUAUCCACUAUCACCCAAAUUCCAUCAUGUCCCUUGGAAGUACGUGGAAGCUUGAAAACAAAAUCCAUGGUAAUGCGUUCCCACUUCCAUUCAGGAAUUGGAAGUGGUUGCAUAAGCCCUGAAGGUUUCUGUCGCUCAGCUUUCACUUGUUGACAAAUCAAGCAUCUACUUACAUACUUGGCAAUGUCUCCCUUCAUAUGCGGCCAUGAGUAAUAUUCCCGUAGGGUUCGAUACAUCUUGGUACUUCCUGGAUGCAUAGUGUAAGUGGAACAGUGAGCUUCCUCCAGGAUUUCUCUUUUCAGAUAAUCAUUCUUUGGUACAUGGAGGCGAGUUCCCGUUACCAACGCCCCAUCUCCCCUUAUUGCAUAAUCUUUCCGUGAACCACUUUCUACUUCUCCCCUUAUUCUACAAAGUGUCGGGUCUCCCAACUGGGCUACAAUUAUCCGCUCCACCAAAAUGGGUCUCACAUGUAAACUAGCAAGUAUUCCACCCUGUUGCGUCAUUUCCAGCUCCACACCAUCCUUCCGCAGUUCCACUAAUAACGGAAGAUAUGUUGUCCUGAGAUGAGUCAAACUUCCAGUAGUCUUUCUACUCAAUGCAUCUGCAACCACAUUAGCUCGGCCUGGAUAAUACUCAAUCGUGCAGUCAUAAUCCUUUAUCAAUUCCAACCAACGCCGUUGUCUCAUAUUAAGCUCCCUUUGAGUGAAAAAAUACUUGAGGCUUUUAUGAUCAGUGAAAAUCUGACACGUCUCACCAUACAAAUAAUGCCGCCAAAUCUUGAGAGCGAACACUACUGCGGCAAGUUCUAGAUCAUGAACCGGAUAAUUCUGCUCAUGCUUCUUGAGUUGCCUCGAGGCAUAAGCAAUCACCCGAUCAUGUUGCAUCAGAACACAUCCCAAACCUUGCAAAGAUGCAUCACUGUAGAUCACAAAGUUUCCUGCAUUAUCCGGAAGAGCCAAAACAGGUGCGGUGGUUAAUCGCUUCUUUAAUUCCUGAAAACUCUGUUCACAUUCUUCUGUCCACUCAAAUGCAAUAUCUUUCCUUGUCAACCGUGUGAGAGGUGCUGCUAUCGAAGAGAACCCUUCCACAAAUCGACGAUAGUAGCCUGCCAAUCCCAGAAAACUCCGUAUUUCUGUCACACUGGUGGAUUGUACCCAAUUCACAAUAGCUUCAACUUUCUGUGGAUCCACAUAAAUCCCUUCAGCUGAAAUUACAUGUCCUAGAAAUACCACUAUGUCCAGCCAGAACUGACACUUACUAAAUUUAGCAUAAAGUUGCUUCCUUCUCAAAGUUCUCAAUACCACCCUCAGAUGCUUCUUAUGCCCUUCCAAAGUCUGGGAGUAAACCAAGAUAUCGUCUAUGAACACAAUCACAAAGUGAUCCAAGUAUGGUCGGAACACUCUGUUCAUGAGAUCCAUAAAUGCUGCUGGAGCAUUCGUCAGUCCAAACGGCAUCACCAGAAAUUCAUAAUGUCCAUACCGUGUUCUGAGCGCGGUGUUAGGAAUAUCCUCUUCCCUGAUCCUCAACUGGUGGUAUCCUGAUCUCAGAUCGAUCUUAGAAAAAUACUUAGCACCCUUCAACUGAUCAAACAAAUCAUCAAUCCGAGGCAACGGAUACCGGUUACGUAUCGUCACCUUAUUCAACUGCCGGUAAUCAAUACAUAACCUCAUGGUCCCAUCUUGCUUCCUUACGAACAACACAGGUGCACCCCACGGUGAAACACUGGGUCUGAUAAACCUAAGAUCCACUAACUCCUGUAAUUGAAUCUUCAACUCCCGGAGUUCAGCUGGCGCCAUCCUAUAGGGGGUUUGAUAAAUAGGGUUGGUGCCCGGAAGAAAAUCGAUAGUGAACUCGAUUUCCCUUUUAGGGGGUAAACCAGGGAGAUCAUCUGGAAAGAUAUUGGGGAAUUCACAAACAACAGGAAUAUCUUCCAAAUUUAAGGUGAUCUCUCGAGUAUCGAUAAUAUGCGCCAAGUACCCUUCAUAACCCUUUUUAAGUAACUUCUUGGCUGUGAUAGCAGAGAUAAGACAAGUAGGGAGAACUCUACGCUCCCCACGGAAAGUAACUUUAGGUUGUCCUGGACUCCGAAGCGUUACUUCCUUCCGAAAACAAUCCACUGAUGCAUGAUGUUUCUCUAGCCAAUCCAUCCCCAAUAUAAUAUCCAAAUCCACCAAAUCUAAAGGAAUUAAAUUCGCUUCCAACCAUGCAUCAUCUACUUGGACAAAACAAUUUCUGAAUACCCGAUCUGCAUACAAGACUUCUCCCGUAGGUAGAGAAAUACUAAAACUUCCUGUUAUAGGUGUGGGUCUAAUACUGAUAUACGGUAUGAAAUUGUGUGCUACAAAGGAGUGUGUGGCCCCCGGGUCAAUUAGAACACGUGCAAGAUAACCAAAAAUCGGAAUCAUACCAGUAAUCACGUCUGGGGUAGCAUAUGCUUCUUGCUGAGUCAUAGAGAACACUCGGGCCUGAGUAGUGGAACGCCCAGGUUGACCUCUUGAUUGCCUACCACUUCUGCCUCUAGAAGAUGACGGUGCCUUGCUACUGGAUGACCCUGCUGCAGAGGAAGAGACACUACCUUGAUUCUGAUUCUGACCCAUAAUACCUUGCCCCUGCUGGGCCCCAGUUCCCUGAAUUGCUGCGUCAUUCUGAAGUAUAAUUGGGCAGCUUCUCUUAGUAUGCCCCACUUGCCCACAAAAGUAGCAUGUCAGGCUAUUACUCUGACUCGGUCCACCUCCCUGAGUAUAGCUGGGACAAUCCUUUGCAAUGUGCCCAACCUGUCCACAAUUAAAACAUGUCAACCCAGUGUGCCUGGAAGGAGCCCUGGCAGUGCUAGCUGUAGACUGUGGCCUGAAUACUGAGUCCAAGCCGGACGAGAACCAGAUCUCCCACUACUAGAACUAGAUCCCCGUCCUUCUGACCAUCCACCACUAGCAGAACUGGAACUAGAUCCUCCCCUCUUUGAUGGACCCUGACUGGGCCCACCAAUUCCUGGUGUAUCCCUACGGCGCCUACCCACAUUUCCACCAAGUUUCCUCGACACCCUUUCAACUGCAUGAGCCAACGCCCUCAUAUUUGGAUAAGUGUUAGCAGUAAUCACUGCCUGAAUUUCCCACCACAAACCUUCCUCAAAUCGUCUACAUCUGUCCUCCUCUGUGGCAACCAGCUCUGGAGCAAAUCUGGACAACUCAUUAAACUUGUGUUCAUACUCCAUUACUGACAUAGACCCCUGUUUCAGGUAAAGAAACUCUGACUUCUUUGCAUGUCUAUAAGAAGGUGGGUAAAACUGUUCUGAAAAGACUCGCUGAAAUUCUUCCCAGUUUAUAGCAGCCGGAUUUUCAUACCCUCUUUUUACUGCCUUCCACCAAUGAUAAGCAUUGCCCUUGAGUAGAAAGGUAGCCAAGCGGACUCUAUCCUCAGCUGGGCAUUCCAAAACCUCAAAAAUUCUUUCCACAUCAGUAAUCCAUGAUUCUGCUUCUGCUGGGUCUGUACUACCCACGAAUUCUUUUGCUCCAAGUUCUUUAACUCUCUUAAUUUCAGAACUUUCUGUACCGCGCCUUCCCCGUAAGGCUGUAGCCAUUGUGCGAGUAAACUGGCUGAGCACAUGCCUCAUAUCCACAGCAUUAUCUCCAGCGGGUGGGGAUGGUGGAGGCGAAGGUACUGGUGGUGAAGGAGGGGGUGACGGAGAUGGAGGUGGAGGAUUCGGCCCCCAUCUCUGACCGCGACCUCUUGUUCUAGCUCUGCGAGCAGACAUGAUUCUACACAAAGAAAUCGCAAAAUCAUUAGAUCAACAAUGCAACAAAAGUGCAAUAGUCGAAGGAAAAUGAACCUAAUGCUCUGAUACCAAGCUGACAGGACCCGCCCCGGAAUUUCUCGAAAACCGAAGCGGACCCCGUCUUUGUUCCGACAUCUUCCCGAUGCCGGGCCCACUUACCAAAAACUCGAGACUUUCUGCCAAAAUUUUGGCAGAGUCUCCCCUGUAAUUUAGGCAAUCCCAACAAAAAUAAUCAACCUGCAACAAACAUAAAAUGAAAAUCCCAACCAGCAGCAUGCUUUCACAAUUCUACAAGUCAUACUAGAAUGGCCUACGGCCUCACAAGUAAAAUCUACCAUGGGCGAUACAGAGCAUCUACUGAAUUUAGAUUACAAGAACAGUUGAGUAGAAGAAAUUACUCAGUUCCUAACUAGAAAGGUUCACAGUUCGGGCCUCGUACACCCCUUGCACGCUUCCUGGAGCGACUACUGUCUGGGGGGCGCAAAACAGAAAAUAUGUCAGUGGACAAAAACCAGAUUUGCAGUUAAAAACAAUAUAGUAACCCCACCAUGUAAAAAUAAUGCUCAAGUCAUGCAGGUUCACAAUUCAAUAAUUAAAUUACUCAAAACUUGAUUCAUUAAAACUUUUCAAAAAACACCAGUUAUCUCCUUCAAAAAGAAUCCCAUUCUCUCAAUUUUACAACUCCUGUCAAACCACCACAAGACUCUAAUUCUUCACUCCCUCAACUAUACGUAUACAUAUAAAUAUACAUAUAUAUAAAUAUGACUAUAAAUAGCUAUACGCUAUACUCAUCACACCACCUAGGUACCGGGGAAACAAUCCAACUGGGGGAUCGUUUGACUAGUCCGCGGGAUUUCCAGGUGCUAUCCUGCGUCUAGGGAUGAGCGGUCCAACCGGGGGACGAAACUCCAAAGCUCCCACACCGGAACAUCCAACGCCAUGUGUGGCUCCCAAACUAUGUCCUACGCUCGCAGACUGGAUCAUCACACACCGGAACAUCCAACGCCAUGGUGAUGAUCCUAAACUCUAUACAAGUCUUUCCAUAUGCCGGAACAUCCAACACCGCAUAUGGAAAGUGUCUCACACGCCGGAACAUCCAACGCCGCGAGUGAGACUGAUAAUUGGGGAAGGUACUUACAUAGUGUAAUCCUACAACUUCUCUCAACAAUCCAAGUAUCUCGUCUAUAGAGAAUAUAUAUAAAUAUACUUCCCCACAACCCAUAUAAAAUGCACUCUCAGUACCCACAAUGCCAAACUCACAAUAUAUUGCCAAGCGCUAUGCAACCACCAUAAUCAACUCAUGAAUAUAAUAUAUACUCAAAAAGCCAUUAAAACAUUAUGCAAAAUCUUUCAUCAAUUAAAAACCAUGCAUAUGAUUGAAAACAAAGUCCACUCACAGAUAUUCCCACGCUGCUUGACCACGUGAGGGUCCUGCCUGCUGAGUACGCGCAGUCGAAACAACUAUUUCGAGAUACGAACCGUUAAUUAAUAUAAAAUUACGUCGAAGUGGAAAUCACAAAUUAAAUGAUUAAUUCCCCAAAUUCCCCAUACGUGCACGUUGAAGAAGGUAUCCUAAGGUCCGAUUACAGGUUUAGGAAUCGUUCACGAUUUUACGGUUAUCGCUAACCCGCAAACUUUGCACUAUUGAAUUGGAACAUCCGGGGCUCCGAUUCAUAAUUCGUGAAGUCCCAUACGGUCCUAGGAAUACCUAGAACAACAUAUUUUAAUUCGAGAAAGAUCUAACGGUCGGAACUUAUCGAACCCGGAUAACGCACAAUAUGCGAAAAUCCGUUCGAUAGUCAAACGACAUCCGAAUUGAGAUCCGCGAAUUCCUAUGCGCUCGUGACAACCUAAGGAUCUCAUCGGGUUAAAUAGCCGCCUCACCAGGCUCGCCCACGCGCCGGCAGCGAGUGGGUGUGUAGAGUAAUUCCGGAAAUGGAAAAACUCCACACCCGAGCUCACCCUUCCUACCCUAGCUUCUACUCAAGGUCAGGAUCACUUCAUUUAACUACGGGAAGGCCCAAUUCGGGAGGCAACUGGCCGGAAUUUCAUUUUGAAAUCCGGCCAAAACCUAGGUUUUCAAAAUCAAUUCCUACCCAGCAAAUCAAUCCAAACCUAUAGAACCAUCAGCUAGAACUCGAAAAAUGGAUGAGAAACCAUACCUCACCUGUCUGAAAUAGUGGUCGGAGGAGAGAGAACGAGUGACUGGAAUUUCAGACGAAAAUCGGCCUGAAAUUCGUGUUUCCCGACGACGUGGCGGCGGCUGACGGCUGGAGGUGGGUCGGGUAACGUCGGCGACGUCUGGUCGGAGGUUUCGGGUCCGGUCUCGCAGCUGGCCGUGGCCUGUGACGGUGGCCGUGUGUUUUGCAGUCGAAGGAGGAGGAGGGACGACGCGGGAGAGAGAGAAUCGGGAGAAAGAGAGAGAGAGGGAUAAAACUGGAAAAAUCUGAUUAAAAGGGGUAAAAGGAAGAAACAAGAAUUUGAGUUUUAUUGAAAUAAGAGUUACAACUAACUCUUAUUGGCUGAAUAAAACUCAACUGGAAUAGAUAAUGUCUGGUUUGGUCGGCUCCAGAAAUAAGUAAUCACUCUUCUUUGGGUUCUAAGAAUAAAGAAACCUGUUCUUAUUUGGCUGCAUGUAAAUAAGCAACAGAGAUUCUAGUAAGUCUUUCUUGUACAUAAUCUAAUUUAAAUCCUUUGCACCAAAUAUUAUUAUUUAUUGCAAAGAACAUAUAAUCCGACAUAUGUAUAUCUGACCAUGACCAUGCAAUGUUUGAUUGCAGGCUGUGGGGAUACAGAUAUGGAAGAACUUACAAAUAAUUUGAACGACCUGCCUCCCUUAUCCUCUGAGUGCUGUAUCUACAAGGUUCCAAAGCGACUACGUGGUGUAAAUAACGAGGCCUAUAUAUACACCUCAGGUGGUCUCAAUUGGCCCCCUUCACCAUGGUCGAGAAAGCCUAAAAGCCAUGGAAGAGCAUAAAAUGCGGUACAUGAAGGACUUUCUUGAACGAACAGGGGUAGAGCUGGAGGUUCUUUUCAAAGACAUGAUGGAACGGCAAGCACAAAUUCGUGCUUCUUACGCAGUAACCGUCAAAUUUGAUGAACAUGAGCUCGUAAAAAUAAUUAUGGUCGACGCCACCUUUACCUUUGAGGUCAUGCUCAGAGUUUCUUUGCCAUCACUACAAAGGGAAAACGACCGAAUAUUUGGAAAACCAAGGAUGCUAAGGGACAUUAUAUAUGAUAUCACUACUACGAUUUACUAUUUGCGCGACGAACAUUUUUUCGUCGCGCAAAAAGCACUAUUGCGACGGGAAAAAAAUUCCGUCGCGCCAACAAUAGAAAACAAGCGCGACAAAAAGAUUCGUCGCGCAAACAAUCUAUGCGCGACCUAAAUUAAUUUCGUCGCGCAAAGGUAGUGGAUAAAAACCCGGUUUUUUUUUUGCCGCCAAAAUCUUGCGCGACGACAAAAAUCGUCGCGCAUGACAAUAUUGCGCGACAAUUCUAAGCUUUCGUCGCGCAAAGAUGGAUAGAAAAUUUGCUCCUUUUUUUGGAGGUAAAAAUGUUUGCGCGACGAGAGUUUUCGUCUCAAAAGACAACUUAGCGCAACAAAAAAAUGUACCGUCGCGUAAGAAAACGAGGAAUACUUAUUUUUGGCGCCAAAAUGGAGGGUGGAUCAAUUUUGGUUUUGCGCGACGGAUAUAUCUUCGUCGCGUAAAGUUUAAUGCCCGUGCAUUCUUGCGCGACGGAAUUUAAACCUUGCGCGACGAAAAAUAUUAUUUGCGCGACGAAAGUUUGUGCGACGAAUGAUAUUAUUCGUCGCGCAAAAAAGCAGAUGUCGACACGUAAUUGCGCGACGGAAAUGUUGUUUUGUGCGACGGAAAAGUGGGUUUUCGUGACGGCAUUUUGCGCGACGAAUUCAGUUAUUCGUCGCGCAAAGUCCUUCUUCUUCAUAUUAGUAUCUGCCAUUGCAUAGGCAGAAUGCAAAAAUUGCAUUCUGCCUCUCUCUCACUCCCCCUGCCGCUGCUCUGCUGUGAAUUCAGUACGUUCAUUGGGUAUGUAUUUUUUGUCGUUAGUUUAAAUGUAUUGAUGUAAAUUCGUACUAACGCUAUUAAUUUUGUUCUCGUUAGGGAUAUUUGUGAUUAGUGAUUGGUGGAGAACGAUUGAGAAGGUAUGUUAUUGUAAAAGUUUGUUUGUUAUGUUUGUAAUUUUUGUGUGAAGUUAUAUGUGUAUAAUGUUGUGAAAUUGUGCGUGACGUAGCACAAUGUGUUGUGAUGUACGAAGUUAAUUGAAAUUCACUUCGUACUUUUAUUUUUAUGUUUAGUAACACGUAGUUUCCCAUUCGAGAUUAGUUGGAUUUCGUGCAUGGAUGCGUAAGGCAUGACUGCGGUCCAAUUAAUUCUUGAAUUGUCCCAUUAUUUGGACAGUUUGGUAAUGCAUAGUGUUGUCACAUAAUCUUCGGCUACAGGAUUAGGUUUCGAUUGUGGAGAUUUCGGUGUCAUCUCGAUACGUUCUUUGGGUGGUACGUAGGUAUUUAUACCUAUGCCCACUUCAAGAACUGUGUCGAGAUGCUGCCAAAAUUAAUCCACGUCGAAAUCUAAUCUCAUGUAGCCGUAGGUUACGUGACAGGACUAUGCAUUCCCGAAUGGGAUAGGGCCCUUACCAGAGGCAUAAGGUGACAUUAUAACUUCGUAUGAAGUUGUUGUGAUUGUUGUGUCGUGAUUGUGGUUUUAGGAAUUAUGAGCAGAAGGUGGAUACAGAACCCGAAUAGAUGCGCAAACGAAUACUUGGAUGGAAUCGAGGAUUUUAUUGAGUUUGCACGUAGACACAACCCGGGUGCAACUAGAAUCCGUUGUCCUUGUAGGAGGUGUAACAACACAUUGUGGGAGACAAUUGAAAAUGUUGGAUUUCAUUUAGUAAGGAAUGGAAUGAUUGAAACAUAUAGCAUUUGGAACCUUCACGGCGAACAAGUAGACCAUGCUUCGUCUUCAAAUGCCCCAAGAAUGGACAAUGUUGAACCUAUUGUGGAUCCUAAUGAUCAAGUCAUGGGUAUUAUACAGGAUGCUUUUCCAUUCGCAUCGACCAACAUCAAUCAGGAAGGGGAAGAUGACGUGCCUACACCAAUAGACAGUGCGGAGUUUGAACAGUAUGAAAAACUAUUAAAAAAUGCCAACCAAGAGUUAUACCCGGGGUGCGAGAGCUUUUCCGUUCUCACUGCCAUUGUGGAGCUAAUGCACGGAAAAAUAAAGUAUCGUAUGUCGAACUUGUGUUUCGAUUACUUUUUGGGGGUUUUCAAGAGAAUGCUUCCGACGGACAAUUGUUUGCCGAAAGACCAUAAACAUGCACAGAAGGUGUUGCAUGGUCUUGGAUUGGGUUAUGAAAAAAUCCACGCUUGCAAAAACAAUUGCAUGUUAUUCUACAAAGAGCAUGAAACGUUGGAUACAUGCCCUAUAUGCAAUGAGUCGAGGUUCAAAAUGACAUCCCAGAAUAGAACGACUAAGAUACCAUAAAAAGUCAUGCGUUAUCUGCCCCUUAAACAUAGGUUGCAGCGAUUGUAUAUGUUGACGCAUACUGCCACAGACAUGAGAUGGCAUAAGGAAAAACGCGUAGACGAUGAUGUGAUGCGGCAUCCUGCAGAUGGGGAGGCAUGGAAAAAGUUCGAUCGAACGUUCCCCGAGUUUGCUGCUGAUCCCCGAAAUGUUAGAUUGGGACUUGCCACUGACGAAUUCAAUCCGUAUGGGGUUCUAAACCAACACCACAGCACUUGGCCGAUUUUCGCAUUCCCAUAUAAUUUGCCGCCUUGGAAAUGCAUGAAAAAAGAAUACAUGAUGAUGACUGUUUUGAUAACUAAGGAUCCUGGCAGGUCAAUUGAUGUGUACUUAAGGCCUCUGGUUGAUGAGCUGAAGGAUUUAUGGACAAACGGUGUUCGCACGUACGAUAAAUCAACUGGGAGGAUGUUCACUUUGCGAGCAGCAGUUAUGUGGACUGUGAAUGAUUUUCCAGCAUAUGCAAUGAUUUCUGGGUGGAGCACAAAGGGUUAUAUGGCAUGUCCUGUAUGCAAGGAAGAUGUAACUUCUGGUUGGCACGCGGGAAAAGUUUGUUACCUUGGUCAUCGGAGAUGGUUGCCAUGGGACCACGAGUGGCGAGAAAAAGAUAAAGAGUUCGACGGGAACACAGAGCGUCGCCUCAGACCUAGAGAAUGGUCCGGUGAUGAGAUCUUGGAACAGCUGAACCGUUUGGAUUUUGCUCCGUUCGGGAAAACAGUUAGUCGGACCAGACCUUCUACACAUUUGAACUGGACGCACAAGCCUAUGUUUUUUGAGCUCCCAUAUUGGUCGAAACUGAAAUUGAGGCACAAUCUAGAUGUAAUGCAUGUUGAGAAAAAUGUAUUCGACACAUUGGUGGGCACGAUUCUAGAUAUCGAGGGGAAGACGAAGGACACGAUCAAAGCUCGUCUUGAUUUGGAAAGAAUGGGCAUACGAAGGGGUUUAUGGAUGAAUAGGGACAGUGAUAAAGCUAGAAGGGAUCUUGCAUUCUUUCUAUGAAACCGAAUGACAAAAAAGAGUUUCUAAAGUUUGUAUCGUCUGUCAAAUUUCCCGAUGGGUAUGCUUCUAAUAUCGCACGUUGCGUGAAUGUCGAUGGGGGUAAAUUUACUGGACUUAAGAGCCAUGACUGCCAUAUGUUUAUGCAACGCCUACUUCCUGUGGGUAUUCGACACCUACUACCGGAAGAUGUGGUGAAGCCAAUCAUGUUGUUAUCCAGAUUUUUUUCCCAACUGACGGCAAAAACAUUGCGAAGGACAGACAUGUUUCAGUUGCGCCAUGACAUUGUCCAAGUCCUAUGCAAGUUUGAGAUGAUAUUUCUUCCAGCUUUCUUUACAAGUAUGAUGCACGUGAUGGUUCACUUGCCAGAAGAGGCAUUGCUUGCUGGUCCUGUCAACUAUCGCUGGAUGUAUCCAAUAGAAAGGUAUAUAAUCUUUAUCAUUUGUGUAUGCAUCAUUAUCGACAGUUUGCUAAUUUGUAUCAUAUCGUUUUAUUUUGGCAGGCUUCUCGGAGAGCUGAAAAAAAGUGUACGCAACAGGGCAAAGCCCGAAGGAUCAAUUAUAGAGGCUUGGGUUCAAUAUGAGUCGCUUACUUUCUGUGGAAUGUAUUUAAAAGAUGUGGAGACGGUUUUCAAUCGUCCUCAACGCAAUAAUGACGGAGGUAUGAGAAAUGAAAAACUUUCUGUUUUUGCCCAAAGCGCACGACCAUUUGGAGAUCCUGGACGAGGAGAGUCGUUUUCUAGAAAUGACAUGGAGGUAGCGUAUUGGUUCGUACUGAACAAUUGUGAUGAGAUAAUGGCCUACUUAGAUGAGCAUGAACAGAUGAUGAAGCGAGACAUCCAUCACAUUUGGUUGCCCGGAAACACCGUGAAUUAUUUCCACAAUGGUUUUUGGAUUCUGUAAGUUAUAAGUGUUUUGUAAUUGACAAAUAUAAAUUGUAGUAUUUAAUUUUGUCAGACCAACAUGUAAAUGGUUUUGUAUACUAUUAGGUGAAUAAAUUGAAAUCAUCGAAUUCCCCCACUUACAGUGAUGAGUUAUAUAACUUGGCGUUCAGCCCAAUUCGCGCUGAAUUGUUCUCGGGUUGUAAUGUUAACGGCGUCAAAUUUUUGGGGGCCGCACGAGAUGACAAGUUGUGUACGCAAAACAGCGGUGUCCAUGUCCCAGGUGGAGGCGAAAGUACGGACAUUGAUUUCUAUGGCAAACUGACAACUGUCGUGCAAUUGCUUUACAAAGAUCGAUACCAAGUCAUCAUGUUUAAGUGUCGAUGGUUCGAUACCAACCCAAGUAGGGCGGGAAGUGUUAAAAUCGACCAUGGAGUACUGUCUGUGAACAUUAACAGAACUUGGUAUGAUGACGACCCGUACAUUUGGCAAACAUGGCGUCUCAAAUUGUGUAUCUAGAUGACCCUAAAGCCGGGAACAGGUGGAAAGUUGUGCAGAAGAUGGAUCAUAGGAACGUGUAUGAUAUACCAGAACUAGACCCAAGUGACAACGACGUCGACAAUGUGGCUGACCAACGUUUAGAAUCUUCAAUGGAAAAUGAUGCGGAAACACUUCGAGAUACAAAUGUUAUACAAGAACCGUUUCAAAUAGAAGGAGUGUCUUCAGUCGAAAUACCGAUUCAGUCAAUUACAAUUGACCUCGGUGAUCUUCCCUGAUAUGAUGUUGCAGUGGGCCCUAGCAACGCCGAUGAUGCAGUUAUAGAGGAGGAGGAGGAAGAAGAUUGGGAGACCGAGAGUGAUGAUAGCUACGAUAACGAAAGUUAUUAUAGUUCAGAUGAUGAACGAUGAAUUUAUUUGUAAAUUUAUUAUGUUAGUGUAUUCAUUUUGUGUAAUACAAAUCUUUGAAUAUAUGUAGUUGUCCAUAUGUAGUUGUGUAUUCAUUCUCCAUAUUUCAUCACAAACUUCAUUGGAAUGUCAAUACUUUAGUCAAUACUUUAGUCAGUACUUAUUACGACCCCAUGCUUGUUGAUUGGUUUUUAUUUAUCUAUUUAUUCAUGUCUUUAACUCUUCAAUUAUUAUUUUUUUUCUUUUGAGAUAUAGUUAUUUCUUCAUGUUUAAACAAAAAAAUAGAAGUUAUUUCUCCAAUAUUAUCUGUGUGCCACUUAUUUUUCUUCACUUUGGUUCAUGAUUAGUGGCAUCAAUCUAGUCAAACCGAUAAAAUCGGUCGAUUCAAAUCUUAAUUAUCAAUUUAGUUUGGUUUUGAUGAAGAAAUACAAAGCCUUUCCAAAAAAUACAAAGCAUAAAAAAUGAUGAAUACAAAACCUUUCCAAAAAAUACAAAGCAUACACAAUUUGAAUUAAAUGAGGAUUUAUGGCGCCAAAUCCUUGCGCGACGAAGGGCUCCUUAUCAUCGCGCGUAAAGUUUGCGCGACGAAUACACCUCGUCGCGCAUAGUUUCCGCGACGCAUAUAUAUGCGUCGCAUAUGGUAUUUUUGCGCUACGAUAAGGAGCCCUUCGUCGCGCAAAAGGCACAGACCCUUCAGUUUCAGUGUCCCGCUAAACCCAAAAUUUUCCCAAUAUUUUGGCGGAACGACAGCGUUUUGCGCGACGAACAUAUUACUUUCCGUCGCGCAAGGUUCUCCUUGCGCGACGUUUACUGUCUUCGUCGCGCAAAAGCACAAACCCUUCAGUUUCAGCCUCCCGCUAAACCCUAAGUCCCAAAAUUUUGGCGGAACGACAUCGUUUUGCGCGACGAAUAUAAGAUUUUCCGUCGCGCAAAGUUCUCCUUGCGCGACGUUCACUCUCUUCGUCGCGCAAAAUCACAAACCCUUCAGUUUCAGCCUCCCGCUAAACCCUAAAUCCCAAAAUUUUGGCGGAACGACAGCGUUUUGAGCGACGAAUGAUGAUAAUUCGUCGCGCAAAAGACACAGACCCUAAUCCCCAUUCAAAAUUUGGCGUUGUGGGAGACCUUGCGCGACGGAAUUUUCGUCGCGCAAAAUUCAUUAAUACCAUUUUGCGCAACGCAGUCUGUUCUUCGUCGCGCAAAGUCGAAUAAAUUUGCAGAAACGACCCGAUGCCUCCUUCUUCCCCAGAUUCUGGUUUUUCCUCCGUUCUCCCUCUCUCUCCGCCGUCACCUCAGCCCUCUCUCUCCGCCGUCACCUCAGCCACCUCCGCUCGUUCCGUAGCCUCCCCUGCUGUCGCCGUCAAGCCUGCCGUCGCACAUAGUUGGUUUUUCCCGAUUCUUCGCCGGCCGAUUUCUCUCUCCUCCGGCCACCAUUUCCGACGCCUGAGGUAUGAUUUCUCGACUAUUUUUUGUGCUCUAGCUGAUGGUUGGUUAGGAUUUCUUGAAAUUUCGCUAUAGGAAAUAGGAAUUAAAACCCUAGGUUUUGGCCGGUUUGGGAAUUUCAAAUCCCGCCACUUCCGGCCAUUUUUCGGGGUAGGUCCGAGAACAAAAGUGGCUCCAAUUAAUGUUUUCAACCUAGGGUAGGAACCUUGGCCCUUAGUUUUUAGAAUUUUCAGGCGAAUGUUAUCGCUUUGGACACCCACGCGCUGCCGGCGCGUGUGGUGGCGCGUGGGAUGCUGUGGCAGUGGGGCAUUGUGUCCCAGAGCAAUCCCCUGUUUGUCACGAGCGCGUAGGUUUGCUCGGAUUUGAAUUUGGAUACCGUUUGAGUCUUGAUCGGAUUUCGCCUAUUGUGCGAUUUCCAGGUUUGAUAUGUUCGGACCGUUGGAUCGAACUCAAACUCACGUAGUUGUACCUUUGUGUUUCUAGGAUCGUUUAGGAUUCGACCGAUUGUUGAUCGGAGUCCCGGAUACUCCGAAAUUCCAAACCCUAGGUCAUGCUAUGCUUUUAAAUAAUUAGUUUAAAUUCUUAAUGAAAUUAUAUGUGCAGAUGUCAGACUUGAUUAGACGUGGUAGGUCGAUGACGACUGCACCGAGUUCGGAUCCCCCGGCUCAGUCGGCAUCUGCUGCCACUGCUCCAGCUUUCAUGGAGCACGUGCUGGUUGGUCCCGGGGCAUCCCAGGCGCCAGCGUCAUCUGCGUCAUCCGUCGCGCAGCCAGCUAGUGCUAGGCGGCGGCACCGGCCCGCCGACACCACCGAGACGACAUCGACCGACGGUACUGGUGCCUCGGGAUCACAGCCAGGUAUAACUACCAUUUUGUAUUGUUAAUUUUAUAUUGAAAUUUGACAAUGUUGUUUAUUUAACAUUAAUAUCUUAUUUCUUUGCAGCGAAGAAGAACACCCGAGGGCCGUGUCGUCAGCUGAAGAUGGCGAAAGUCACCCGGGUGACCAACAGUCGUAUCAGCAUCGGAUACGGCGAGCGCCAUCGGGCUGCACCCACGGCGGAGUUGCAUAGCUCCUUGGCCCACGACAUUGGCCACGUCGUGCGGACCCAUUGCCCGAUGUAAUGGAAGUCUUGGAGGGUCAUUCCUGACGAGAUAAAAGUAGAGGUUCGCGGCCAGUUGUCGGUAUGUACCUUACAUUUUCAUUAUAUUUCUUUAAAAUUGUGUAUAUUUCUAUUACUUAACGUAUCUAAUUAAUUGAUUGUAGACGAACUAUAACUUGGAGGAUCUCGACGAAGAGUCGUUGGCGUACGUCAACAGACUCUUCGCUGAGAGGUACAAGCAGUGGAAGAGCGACUUGCACCAUCAUUUUCAGGCCUUUGAUGAUCCGCAAGUCGCUCUUCAGGAGGGUUGCCCGAAGGAGCUUGAGGGGCGGGAGGAUAGUUGGGAGUGGCUCUGCGCUCAUUUUCAAGCGCCCGAAUAUAUGGUAUUUUUUUAAUAAUAUUUGUUUAAUUAUUACUUAUUUCUUAUUAAUGUUUAUUUCAUUAUUAUUUAAUUUGUUAUAUUUUAACUAAUACGUUUCAUUUUUUGUAUAACAGAAUAAAGCCCAAGUGAAUAAGGGUAAUAGGAAGAAGAAGACCCUUCUCCACCAUUCCGGCUCCAGGCCCUUUUCGUAUAGGAUGGAUGCACGGCGACGGGUAAUAAUCACAUAAUUUAUAUUUCAUUUUUAAUGUCAUUUUUAUUAAUUUAUUUUUUUCAUACUAAUAUUUUUCUUCUCUUGUUCAAUUUAGGAGGGGUCCAAGUUCCCAGAGAUCGACGUCUUUGGUGACGUUUAUGUUCGACCCGGGAAUGAGUUGGCCGAGUCCCUUCAUGUAAGUAUUAUUUAAUUUUAAUUCUUAUGUUACGCAUUCAAUUUAUAUGCAUGUUUUAAUUUAUAUUUUAUGUUAUGUUCAACAGACGACGAUGGUGGAGAGGAGCCAGUUGGUUCUUCAGGAGUCCACCUCCCAGCUUCCUCCCGAGACUCCGAUCGAGUCUGUGGCUCCUCCACAGGAUGCUGGAUUUCAGAUCUUGACGGAGACGUUGGAUCAGACUCUCGGGAGGAGGCCGGGGACAUAUUGUCGAGGGAUGGGGAAUGCCCGGCGGAGGGAACCUAGACCUCGUUCAUCGGCGCAGUCAAACAGUCAGGUGACUGCUUUGACAGCACAGGUGGCCGAGCUUCAGGGUCAGAUGUUGGUGAUUCUACAGUCCCUCGCACAGGGCGGCUUUCCGAUCCCGCAGUUUCGUGCGUCGACCUCCCAGCCCGUCCACCCCGAGCAUGCCCACUAGACCACUGCCCCGGUGGACGCCCAGACCUCCGAGCCGCAUACUGGCGACGACCCGGUUGAUUUUGCUUCAUUAUUUGAUUAGUGUAUUUAUUUUCAUCAUAAACAUUUAUUUUAUUUGUAAUACAUUUAUUUUAUUUUAUAACAAAAUUUUAUUCUAAUUUAUUUUUAUUGCAAUUUCAUUGUUUAAUCAAUAAAAAAAAACCAAUUUUAUUUAAAAUAAAAAAUAAAAAAAUAAAAAAAUAAUAAAAAAUUGUAAUAUUAUUUUUGCGCGACGGAAAAUAUUUCGUCGCGCAAACCCACAUGUAACAAAUAAAAAAUAAAAAAUCAACUUUUUUAUUACUUUUAAUUCUUGCGCGACGAAUACAUACGUCUCGCAAACACGUUUGGCGCGACGAAAUGUUUCUUCGCGCAUCUUCUUCUGCGCGACGACAGAGAUUUUCGUCGCGCAAAUAUAUGAGCGACGAAAACUUUCUCAUCGCGCGAAUGGUUUUGCGACAAACAUAUACGUCUCCCGAACAAGUUUUGCGCGACGAAUUAUGUUUCGUCGCGCUAUUCCUGUCGUCGCGGAAAUAUAUGUGCACCGAAUAGUUUAUCGUCGCGCAAAUAUUUAUGCGACGAACAGUUGUUUCGUCUUCAUACCGUUGGUGCAACGAUGGUUUACCCGUCGCACAGUUUUGCGCGACGAAGGGUUGUACCUCGUCGCGCAAAGGCUUUCUUCACGAUCUUCGCGCGACGGAAUAUGCGCGACGAAUUUUUUGUCGCGCUGAAAUUAGUGCGACUAAAUGAGACUUUGCGCGACGUUUUGUUAUUCGUCGCGCAAAGAGUAAAAUGUAGUAGUGUAUGUUGUUGCUUGAAAAUCAGGUGCCAUUCUUUAUCCUCGAGUAUAAUUGAUCUCGAAAGUGGGCUUUCCAUCAUUAGCCUAACCCAUAAGUUAUUCCGCAAUAGGGUUUACAAAAGGCCAUUUCAUGAAAUUUGUCAGAAAUUCUCUCGCCCUUCGACUAAAAUACACCAUUUUGUUGACUUUCUGCUACAAUGUCAUCGACCUUUACCUUCUGAUCUUCCAACCAAAAAAAAAAACUCAAAACUUUAAACGUACCAAAUGCAACAGAAUUACACCAGGCGGGAGUCAAGUUUGAGAAGGCUAAAAAAAAUACAAAAUUAUUUGACAUACAAUUUGAGAAUGGAAUCCUUAAAAUUCCACGCCUGCGAAUACGGGGUUCAACAGAAAUUUUCUUUCGUAAUCUUAUUGCCUAUGAGCAGUGUGAGCACUGUGAUAAUUACAUCAACAACUAUGUCUUCUUCAUAGACCGCCUGGUCGAUAGUGCCAAGGAUGUGGAAUUGCUUGCGAAGAGUAGAGUUCUUGAAUCUAAGCUACCGGACAGCAAGGCAACAGCGGAUUUUAUUAAUAAUCUUGACUUGGGGCCUAUUUUGUUCAGCAGAAAAUUCUAUUUCACCGAUCUUUGUGACAAGCUGAAUGAACACUACGGAGAGCCCUGGCACGAGUGGAAGGCAAGUUUGGAACAAGACUAUUUCAAAUCCCCAUGGGCUAGCCUGUCUAUUAUUGUAGCCGCUAUACUAGCUGUGCUCACAUUUAUUCAAACAGUGUGCUCCGUAAUGGAGCUGUAGGUUCUUUAUUUCCUCAAUUUCAUGUUUACUGGUUGCAGAUCUUGUUGCUCGUGUACGUGUUUAUCUAAAGUUAAAUAAGAGUGAUUGACUGGUAGUCUGUUGGUUUGUUUUUCUGGGGUUUUUCCCCCCCUGUUCGUCAAAAAAAGAAAAAGAAAAAAAGAGUGAUGUUGCUUGUGCCUAUGAAAAUUACUUUGAAGUAUGCUCCACAAAGCACUGCAACUGCAAGCAAGCCCUUCCUUACUCAUGGCCAGACAAGGACAAAAAUAAUUCUUUAAUGUGAGGGAAGUGGAGGUUCUUCUGCUUGAUAGUGAGUAUGAGAAGAACAACAGCUGCAACGACAGAUAUAGUUGCCCAAGGUCUGUUCAAAUAUAAAAUCGCCUUCCAUUUGUUCUGCCAUUUUACCAGGAAGCACUUGGAUUUCUUACAAAGAUUUUAACAUUUUUAUAAUAAAAGCGCUUAUGAGCAGCCCCACUUUAACUGGUUCGAAUAAUAAUAAAAGCAGAAAAGCAGUGUUUUAUUUUUCCUCUUUACUUUUUCUUUCAGAGCCUGCAAAAGAAAUGUUAGUGUUGAUCAGUUCUUCACCAUCAAGCUUGGCUUAGUGAAAUAAAGCACUUCAUUGAUUUCCACUUAAAUUAACCGGGUUCUUUUUCUGUUUUUUUAUUUUUUGCUAUGGAGUGUAAAAAUUAGAAGCUCCCAUCCCAGAGCUAUAAUUUUUGUACAUUCAUUAUCAAACAUUUCAAAUUAUUUGUGAUUUUUUUUAAAAUAAUAAUUAAUAAAGGAAGGACACCAACCAAACAUAUGACACCAACCAAAUAAUUUUUGUAAUCCAGUCGUAGUGUGUGAUCAUCAUCCUACAUAUGACAGUCAUAGUCAAUCUAAAUCCAGGAAUUAGUUUCAAUGUGAUUAUUUUUUUGUUUAUUUGUCAAUACGUUCACAUUGCAUUCUCAUUUGGAAUUUUAGACAGAGAGGGACAUAUGAGUGUAAUGGACCAACUAGAAUCCGAAACAACAUGUAAUUGCAAACCUUUGCAAUCCACGACUAACUUGAAGUCCCUUAUGCUACGGCGUCAAGAAGCUAUUGAACCUUUGCUGCUAAAAAAACAUAAAAAUAUGGGUCCAGCUCAUCUUAAAUUUGUGGUCACAAAUAAAUAAUAUUACCAUGUCUGUGGAAAUUUGUCACAAGACUCAUCCUAAAAUUGGUCAAAUGCACCACUGUUAAGGUCAUGAAGUUAUGUUAUGCCUUCACAAAGAUUACAUGGUUCAAAAUAAGUGCGAAUCUCAUUCAUGAAUUAUGAAUUAUAAAGGAUUUGGUGUGCAUGUAAAUGGUAGUACUUUAAAGACAAUAUAUUUUAAAUUUUGUGUUUUUGCACUUUUGAUUUCAAUUGGUUAAAUGAGGUUUUAUUUUUUGAAAGUCACAUUGGUUGAAUGAGGUAUUGGAGUAAAUUAAGUAAUACAAACAAGUAAUUAAUUCCUUUCAUCAAUCAUUUUCACCUUAUCUCGUCCAUUUCUUUUGCUAUGCUAAAAGAAAAGGCUUUUGUAAUCUUGAAGAAAAAAAGUUAAUGGUAGUUGUCCGGCAAAUUUCUCACGAAGAUCUUAGGUUGCAAUAUGAGAGUUCAAUUUUCCUGUGACCAAACUCUCUAUGCCCAUCUUGUGACCUUCUUAUUCUUUUGACAUGUGUCCCUUCACUCAACCAAAAUUUAACUAUGUUAAGUCUCUAAUUUAUAUCAAAAUAAUAAUUAAUAUAAUUAUAUUAAAGGUUUGUUUUUUAAGAACUAGCUGAGUUUUCAGAUUUUUUUUUUGAACGAAAUUGAGUUUUCAUAUGAGAGCGCAGGAAAGAUGAAGGGACAAGGAAAACAAUUUUCUAGUGUAAGGUGGUUAAAAGGCUAACGGGGUUUUGUACGUCAAAGCAUGGCGGCUUUAUUGCUGGCCCUCGACAACUCGAGUAGAAGCUCGGCUGGUCCACAAAUUGCAGUUUCGGCAAAUUUCCCCACGAGAAUAUUCGCCCAAUAUUCCUUCGUCUUCUCCGCCUCUCUUUCUCCCUGCAAAACAGAUCGGAGUAAAAGGACCACACCCGGGGGUGUUGGCCAAAGGCCCUCCAAUGCCUAAGUUAGGUAGGGUAAUUCAAGGAAAACCGGGUGGCCGGAGCCGUGUGUGGUGGCCGGAGCCUUGUGUGAGAGAGAGAAAGAGAGGGGGUGGCUAGGGUUUUUGAGAAAUAACUUCUGUAGAGUUUAGUAGGAAUUUAGGCGUACCUCAACCCUUGUGUGUGGCUAUGCUUUUAUAGAGGUCUCAGAGGCUAGGGUUUCAGAGGAAUAAUUCCGUAGAUGGAAGGGAAUUAUUCCUCCCCUUUUUGGAAUUGAUUUGAUUAAUUAGGGAUUUGAUUAAUUAGGGUAAAUCAAAUCCCUAAUUGUGGUAGGUAUCAAAUCAAUCCUGAUUCAAUUUAGGCAACUCCUCAUUUAAUUGGGGAUCGUGGUAAUUAACCAAAUCAAAUCUCAACCUAAUUAGGUAACGUUCAAUUUAAUUGGAUAAUUUCCAAUUAAAUUGAGUAACUCCUAAUUAGGUUAAUUGAUUCCCAAUUUGGUCAAAUAAUCCCCAAAUGGUAGGAAUUAUUUGACCUAGAGUUUGAUUUAAUUAGGUUCCCACACCUUACUCGUAUGGUUUAGUCUCUACAGGAAAUGAAAUGAAGAAAAGCCACUGAGCAGCCACCUGAAAUUGGUAAAUAAUGUCAGGAAAAACAAAUUAAGUACACGAUUUAAGGCGUGCUCUCUUACCUAAAUAAUGUCAGGAGAUAAUCUAGAAAGCAAAGCAUUUUAGAUAUAUAUAUAAACUUGCAACCUACACAGUUACACGUGAUUUGAAAUUGGCAAAAGGUAGUUGGACACAGUACCAUUUGUUUUUGCAACUGCUGCAGCAUAAACACAAAAUGGCAUCAACUUCUGCAACAUUGUUUUCUUAAUUGAAGACCUGGAUAUUGGGCUUCUGAACUUCGGCAGGCUACCGCGAACUUGAAUUGAAGGGAAGAAAACUCUCUACUGUAGUUUGAAUGAUAGCUGAAACAGCUUAUGUAUACUAUAUUUGGCUAUGGAGAAGCGCUAGAUGAUUCACCAAAAUUUUCAAGUCUGAGGAUGAUCAGACUCAACUACUCACAUGAAGAUCCUUCCUUACAGCAAUUUCAAAGAAAAAGAUGAAACAACAAAGCAUGUUUUAACGCUUAAGUGGCGACUUCCUGUUCAAUAUUUUAUUUCAUAUGUAUCUGUGUUUUUUGUAGGCUGGUACAGCUUUUGUUCUGUUCUGUUCGGUAUAUAAUUUCAUUUCAAACAUUGGGAAAGAAACCAUAAAGAACAUGGGAAUGGUAUGUUGCAAAGUAACGAUUAUACUGUUAGGUGCCUGGAUAGAUUCUCAUGCCAAGCCGUGGCAUGAUCGUUGGGGAAAACGUGAACAAUAGGCUAAGAGAUCUGUGAGUCACAAAUUUAUGAUAAAAGAGAGAAGCACCAGUCUACACCUAAUCUGAGGACUUAACACAAUGAAGUUAAUAACUAUAAGAAAUUCCUAUCGGAUUCAAGAUGAUUAACCAAUCAUGCUCAAAACUUAUCAACUAACUUUUACUUGAUAUUUUAGCCCCGCAUCUUUUAUAUGAGACACCAAAGGGCUCCAGCAAAGGAGAGCGACAACUCUAAAUCCGUUUUCCAAUAGUAUUGGUGGGCCCCAGCUAUUUAUUGGCCACGACGCUGGUUGCAUGCGACAUGUGGCCAAUACUCUUUCCCACAGGUUUUUCAGUGGUUCACAUUAGCAUAAGCCACUACCGUGGCUUAUAUGGAGGAUUUCUAGUAGUGCCUAUUAAUCAAAAAAAAUUCUAUCCUAAUUUUUUUUUUUUUUUUUUUUUUGUUUAACAUAUGUAAAGUAUGUAGAUUUGCUACAUAUAUUUUUUCAUAUGGAUUGUUCGUAACAAAAAUUUAGGCAAAUUUCGUUUUAAUGGUACUUUGUGUAGAGCAAGAAAUGUUAUUAAAUACUAACCAAACAAAAUGGUGGCAUUGUUCAGAUGGUAAGAAAUGGAGACUUUGGUUGGCUAUCGCAGUUCCUUUGGCUUCUGUCUUGGUUCUUAUCGCAAUAUCCUCACCCUGCUAUCUGCAUUGCAGAAAGGGACGCAGAGGUUUUGAGUUUUUAGGUUGCAUUGCUAGAUGUAAUUGUUGUCGUUAAAUUUAUAUGUUUUUUUUUAUAAAAAAAGUGGUUGACAUUAAAAUUGGGGAGUGUUUUUCAACUCUCUGUCAAAAUGUCGAUUUUCCGUACUAAAAGAAAAUGGUUUAUAACUUAAGUGGGUAAGAUGAUUUAUUAGAACAUAUAUAUUAGAGACUAAAAGAACGUCCAAAAGUUAUGUUGGAGAAAUUAGUAUAAUGUAAGUUUAAUAUUAGAUGAUUUAAUAUUACUCCCAAGGUACUGAUUCUAUUCUAGCGUUCUUCCUCCAUUUUCGUCUGUUUUUUCAUGCUUUAGUUCCUUUAGCUUGUGUUCGAUUCCCACCUCAUGCGUUGUGACUCUGGUGUUUUCCUUGAGUGGGUACAUGGGAGACUUUAAAUUAUUCUAUUUCAAGUGGUAUUAGGGAGGAAGGGAAUCAAACAAGACAUCGGAUGCAAAGAUAGAUCGAUGCUAUAUGCUCCUAAAAAUUUCAAACCAAUAAUGUAUUAGAAUUUACCAACAGUGUUAAAGUAGGGUUUCAUGGCAUCUUGAGGAGACCAUUCCAUUCCAUUAUGAAAGAAUUGCUGCUGAUAUAUAUAUAGGAGAAAGUAUUAGAAAUUAGAAAGUCAGUUCGAGAUUGUUAAAGUAGUAUUAGAUUUUAUCAUUGAGCUUUUCUUUUCCACAACAAAAAGAAGAAGAAAAAAGACAUUGAGCUUUUCUAGUAAUCGACUUGCUCUUUUGUGCAUAGCAGGUGCGAAUUCCCUUCCUUUUUUUUUGUUUUUUAUUUAUUGUUUUUUCAAUUGAUAGCAUUUUCUUGAAGAUUUUAGUUUCUUAUGUUUCAAUGGUAGUUGGACAUUUGAAAUGAGCAAAGGUCAUGUUAAAAUGUUGUAACUUUAUUCUUUUCUUUAUAUGGAAUUUCGUUUGUUCCUGUAUGUUUUGACUGGAAGCAUGAGAUCUAAAAGAGAGGAUAUAAAUUCGUUUGUUUCUGUUGUCAACUUAGGUCUACAUAUAAUAUGCAUAUAUAUUCUCAGAUUUUUUUCCCUGAAAAAUAAAAUCAACAAACUUUUUCGAAAUUUGUACAUUUUGAUUGGAAGAAAAUGAAUUUUUGUUCUUCAUCACUUGAAGUACAAGUCCCUUGCAAUAAGAUGUUCUCCAUUCCCCCAAACCCCCGAAGAAGAAAAAAGAAGAAGAAGUUGCUUUGGUUUAAUUUGCCCCCCACCCUCCUCAAAAAAAGGAACAAGUUGCUUUAGAAGCGAGGUCAACUCAUAGCUUCCUUGCUUUUACUUAGUUUUAUAUGUCAAUGUGCGGCUUUGGCCAUUUUGAGUUAGAAAUCCAUUACGUCCUAAACAAAAUAUAAUCCAUUACAUUUCCCCUAAUAACAACACAAUCAUGUGCAAGAGCAAGUUGCUUUGUUUCUCAAAAGAAAAGCUAGAACAAGUCGGUUUUAGAAGCUUGGAAGAAAAUAGGCUUAUUACGGAUUAUUUUUACACUAAUUUCUUUUACAUACUGUUUACAUAUUCUUGUAAUAACUCCCUUUUAGAUAGAGUAAUUUGAACUCUUUAUAGCCAGCUUGAACUCAUUAACUGGGAAAAGUUGAGCUAUGAAGAGGCUUUGCAAUGGGCCAAGCUAGCUAGCAGGUAUCUGCAUCUGCUAGUGAAAAAGGAAAUUAAUAAUAAAACAAACACUUGGAGUAAUUGCUCCCCCAGGUAAGGUCCUAAGUUCGAAUCCUAGUAUCCGUGUUGUGCGUGAAUUUAGUAUAUUGUCGCCCUCUCAAUAGGAAAAGGCAAGGGCCAGCUAUAUACUCUUUCCUUGGUAUUGAGUUUACAAAUUACUAAUGCCAAGUAACGUUGAUGGUAAGUUAGAAACUAUAUCACACCUUUCAAAGAUACUGAAUAAAAGUGGUAAAAGGAAGAAACAAGAAUUUGAGUUUUAUUGAAGUAAGAGUUACAACUAACUCUUAUUGGCUGAAUAAAACUCAGCUGGAAUAGAUAAUGUCUUGUUUGGUCGGGUCCACAAACAAGCAAUCACUCUUCUUUGGGUUCUAAGAAUAAAGAAACCUGUUCUUAUUUGGCUGCAUGUAAAUGAGCAACAGAGAUUCUGAUAAGUCUUUCUUGUACAUAAUCUAAUUUAAAUCCUUUGCACCAAAUAUUAUUAUUUAUUACAAAGAACAUAUAAUCCGACAUAUAUAUAUAUAUAUAUAUAUAUAUAUCUGACCAUGACCAUGCAAUGUUUGAUUGCAGGCUGUGGGGAUACAGAUAUGGAAGAACUUACAAAUAAUUUGAACGACCUGCCUCCCUUAUCCUCUGAGUGCUGUAUCUACAAGGUUCCAAAGCGACUACGUGGUGUAAAUAACAAGGCCUAUACACCUCAGGUGGUCUCAAUUGGCCCCCUUCACCAUGGUCGAGAAAGCCUAAAAGCCAUGGAAGAGCAUAAAAUGCGGUACAUGAAGGACUUUCUUGAACGAACAGGGGUAGAGCUGGAGGUUCUUUUCAAAGACAUGAUGGAACGGCAAGCACAAAUUCGUGCUUCUUACGCAGUAACCGUCAAAUUUGAUGAACAUGAGCUCGUAAAAAUAAUUAUGGUCGACGCCACCUUUACCUUUGAGGUCAUGCUCAGAGUUUCUUUGCCAUCACUACAAAGGGAAAACGACCGAAUAUUUGGAAAACCAGGGAUGCUAAGGGACAUUAUAUAUGAUAUGUUGUUGCUUGAAAAUCAGGUGCCAUUCUUUAUCCUCGAGUAUCUCUACUUCUUAGCCCAUUCCAAAAAUAUAUUUGAUCUCGAAAGUGGGCUUUCCAUCAUUAGCCUAACCCAUAAGUUAUUCCGCAAUAGGGUUUACAAAAGGCCAUUUCAUGAAAUUUGUCACAAAUUCUCUCGCCCUUCGACUAAAAUACACCAUUUUGUUGACUUUUUGCUACAAUGUCAUCGACCUUUACCUUCUGAUCUUCCAACCAAAAAAAAAUUCAAAACUUUAAACAUACCAAAUGCAACAGAAUUACACCAGGCGGGAGUCAAGUUUGAGAAGGCUAAAAAAAAAAAAUACAAAAUUAUUUGACAUACAAUUUGAGAAUGGAAUCCUUAAAAUUCCACGCCUGCGAAUACGGGGUUCAACAGAAAUUUUCUUUCGUAAUCUUAUUGCCUAUGAGCAGUGUGAGCACUGUGAUCAUUACAUCAACGACUAUGUCUUCUUCAUGGACCGCCUGGUAGAUAGUGCCAAGGAUGUGGAAUUGCUUGCGAAGAGUAGAGUUCUUGAAUCUAAGCUACCGGACAGCAAGGCAACAGCGGAUUUUAUUAAUAAUCUUGACUUGGGGCCUAUUUUGUUCAGCAGAAAAUUCUAUUUCACCGAUCUUUGUGACAAGCUGAAUGAACACUACGGAGAGCCCUGGCACGAGUGGAAGGCAAGUUUGAAACAAGACUAUUUCAAAUCCCCAUGGGCUAGCCUGUCUAUUAUUGUAGCCGCUAUACUAGUUGUGCUCACAUUUAUUCAAACAGUAUGCUCCGUAAUGGAGCUGUAGGUUCUUUAUUUCCUCAAUUUCAUGUUUACAGGUUGCAGAUCUUGUUGCUCGUGUACGUGUUUAUCUAAAGUUAAAUAAGAGUGAUUGACUGGUAGUCUGUUGGUUUGUUUUUCUGGGGUUUUUCCCCCCUGUUUGACGCAGCACAAGCAACAAAGGUUUCAAGCGAAAUCUUGAGUAACAAGAAAUCUGGAUUCCACCAGAAAUUAAGAGGAAUUCUCUUGGGAUAAUUGUAUUAAAAUCCGAGGUGAUCAGAAACGUCAGACAAACCUGUCUAAAUACGCAACUCUCAACCCUUGAACUACUAGGGGAGUUAUUACAUUAAAACUGAAAAACAGAAUUUAUUCGGAGAAUUAACUACGAAACUUUGAAUGCCGUUUUAGAAGGCUAAACGACCUUAGAAUGCCAAAAUCCAUCGUACCUCACAGCAAAGCUAUGAGUUUGACUCGUGGAGUCGUUCCCUUUCCGAAAUGGUAUUUUGCGUCCUAAUCGGAGCUCGGACAACAAAUCUACAAAUUCCCGCUACGUCCUUUUUCUAGCUCGACCGCGAUAAAAUCUACCAUCUGUUCUACAUCAGUCCCCUCCACCUCCGAAGAACUUGACCCCGAGUUAUAAUAUGGAUAAAGGACCUCAUCUUCAAGGAACUCAUAUAAAUCUGCAACAUUAAAAAUAUUGGAAAUUCCCAUGGAAUCCGGUAACUCAAUAACAUAGGCAUUAUCAUUGAUCCGUUUGAGCACUUUGUAAGGACCAUAUUUUUUUGGUUUAAGCUUGCUAUAUGUGCCAACUGGAAACCUCUCCUUCCUCAGAAAUAUCAUCACAGAAUCGCCUUCUUGAAACACUUUAACUCGCCGAUGCCUAUCUGCAGCAGCUUUGUACUUAGCAUUAGUUUGCUCAAGUUUCUGCUUGACUUCAUCUCGAACGGCUACUACUUCCUCAGCCAAAUUUUUCGCUGCCACACUGGUUUGCUGGCCUCUAGGCAGUUUCACCAAAUCUACAACAUGGUUAGGUAUAGCAGUAUAAACAAUGGAAAAUGGAGACUUCCCAGUUGCACUAUGGACUGCACUGUUAUAUGCAAACUCCAUCUGCGGUAGUGCAUAAUCCCAUCGUUUUGGCUUCUCUCCACAGACGCUUCGUACCAUAUUGCCCAAUGUCCGGUUUGUAACCUCAGUCUGGCCAUCAGUCUGGGGAUGGGCAGUGUUGCUACGAUUCAAAGUAGUCCCAAACAGCCUCCACAAAGUGAUCCAAAAAUGGCUCAAGAACUUGGUGUCACGAUUUGAUGUAAUGGAUGUAGGAACCCCAUGCAAGCGAACAACCUCCCUGAAAAACAGUUUGGCUAUAUUUGAUGCAUCAGCAGUCUUUUUGCAGGCUAUGAAAUGCGUCAUUUUUGAGAACCGAUCAACCACCACAAAUACAGAGUCCACUCCACUUUGUGUUCGGGGCAAACCGAGGACAAAAUCCAUAGCAAGAUCCUGCCAAAUAUCGUUAGGAACUGGUAAUGGCAUAUAUAAUCCAGUGUUUUGUACCUGCCCCUUCGAAGUUUGACAAGUGUAGCACUUGCGCACAAUAGUUCCAAUAUCUCGUUUGAGUUGUGGCCAGUAAAAUCUCUCAUCCAUCCCUGCAAUUGUUUUAUCACGGCCUAGGUGCCACUCAACCCUCCACCAUGCAAGUCCCGAAUGAGCUUCUCCCUUAAAGAGGAAACUGGAAUACACAACUGGUUGCCUUUGAACAAAUAACCUUCAUUAAGAAAGUAAUCUGCCACCGGCUCUUGAUUGGUGCACUUAGUCCAAAUUUCCCGGAAAUCAUCAUCACCUUCAUAUAAUUCCUUCAGACAUUCAAACCCCACAACUUCUUGAGUCAGCGUGACUAACAAUGAAGCUCUUCUACUCAGCGCAUCCGCCACACGAUUUGUCUUGCCAGAAGUAUGCUUGAUAAAGAACGAAAAUUUCUGCAAAAAAGUCACCCAUCUAGCAUGCAUUUUAUCAAUAUUUUUCUGGCUGUUAAUAUACUUCAACGCUUGAUGAUCUGUAAACAGAACAAAUUCCUUCUGGAUAAGAUAGUGCUCUCAUUACUUCAAAGCUCGAACAACCGCAUAGAACUCUUGGUCAUAAGUACUCCACUUUUGACGUGCUUCGCUCAACUUUUCAGAGAAGAACGCAACUGGCCGCUUGUCUUGUGAAAGCACAGCUCCGACUCCCACACCGCUGGCAUCACAUUCAACUUCGAAAACUUUCUCAAAGUUUGGAAGGGCUAGAACCGGCGCGGUGUAAAGCUUUUCUUUAUAUCUGCAAAGCUUCUCUCUUGCUCCUCUCCCCAGCUGAACCGACCCUUCUUCAAACACUCUGUGAUAGGUGCAGCAAUGGAGCUGAAAUGCCUCACAAAUCUUCUGUAAAAGGUGGCCAAACCAUGGAAACUUCGAACUUCAGAAACUGUUUUUGGAGCUGGCCAGUCAAGGAUUGCCUUGAUCUUCUCGUCAUCUACCUGGAUACCAUUCUCACCAACAACAAAACCCAAGAACAGUAGCUUAUUUGUGCAGAAAGUACAUUUUUUUAGGUUCACAUACAGUUUAUUUUCUCUCAAAAGAUCUAAAACUUGUCUCAAAUGCACAAGAUGUUCCUCUUUUGUGGUACUGUAAAUUAAAAUGUCAUCGAAAUAAACUACGACAAAAGAGCCAAUAAAUGGUCGAAGAACCUGAUUCAUGAGUCUCAUGAAAGUGCUAGGCGCAUUUGACAAUCCGAAUGGCAUCACCAACCAUUCAAAUAAUCCGUCCCAGGUCUGAUGCGAAUCUGGUGGUAACCGCUUCGCAAAUCUAUCUUGGAAAACACCCUUGAGCCGCUAAGAACAUCCAGCAUAUCCUCCAAUCGUGGAAUGGGAAACCUGUACUUGACUGUUAUCUUGUUGAUUGCUCGGCUAUCAACACACAUUCGCCAAGUCUUGUCUUUCUUCGGAACUAGCAAAACGGGAACUGCGCAGGGACUCAAACUCUUCCUGAUAAAUCCCUUCUGCAGUAAUUCUUCAAUCUGCUCUCUUAGGAUGUCAUUCUCCUUGGGGCUCAUCCGAUAAUGAGGCAGAUUCGGAAGGCUAGCUCCAGGCACCAAGUCAAUUCGGUGUUGUAUGUCCCGCAUAGGUGGCAACUCGUUCGGCAAUUUUUCAGAAAGUAGUUCCUGAAACUGUGACAAAAUCUGCUGCACGUCUUGUGGAAUGUCACUUUCUCCUCUGCCAAGCUUCAACAACCCCUUCAACACCAAGGGACAAAAAUACUCCGCCUCUUUGACAGCCUCGUUCAACUCUUGCUCGCUACUAAUUAGGGUUAGGAAACUAGAACUCCUCGUCUUAGGCUCAACAGAUUGUUUUGAGGGCUUUGUAGUUGCCAUUGCAAUUUUUCGGUUGUUCCAAGAAAACAAAAUUACAUUAUCUCGUCCUUGUAAGUCGCAUCCACAUCAAAUUGCCAAGGUUGCCCUAAUAAAAUAUGGCAUGCAUCCAUGUCAAUAACGUCACAUAAUACAUCAUCGCUGUAAUGCUUACCAAUGGAUAGUGGCACACGGCAAGUCUCAGCAACAUGAACUGAAGGGCCUUUUUUAACCCAACCUAGUGAGUAAGGGCUGACAUGUGGCUCCGUUGAUAGCUGCAAAUGCUCCACCAAUUUCUUUGACACGAAAUUCUCGCAACUUCCAUUGUCGAUGAUCACAUCACGCACCUUGUUUUUGAUUGAGCAGAGGGAACGAAAAAUACUAUGAUGUUGCCCUUCCUCCUUUGGUGCCAAAAGAAAUCUCUGCAAAACCAAGGUAAUCCUCUCCAUUCCUUCCUCAAUUGCAAAUUCAGCCCCUGCAUAAUCAUCUUCCCCGACUUCCUCUUUUUCCUCAUCUUCAUCGACCUCCUUGAUAAAGUUAGCCUACUUCCGCUCUGGACAAACAUUAGAACGAUGUCCUGGUUUUUGGCAACGGUAACAUAUGUCCGUCAUGGGCUUAGCAUACGGAUUCUGGGUUUGGUUUCGGGACUGCCCUCUGUUGAAAGUCCGGCUGCUGCUUUCGUUAAAGUUUUUGUUUUGGACAGUUGUCGCUGGUUUUGUCGUUCCUCCAGGUUGCUGUUGCGCUUUCCCCUUAUCUCCGGAGCCACUAGAAGCACCAGUAGCAUACUCAGAGGCUUCCGUCGUGUUCCUGCGGAAGUUGGGUUGGCGCUUCUCCUUCUCCAACAGUUCAGCUUUCAUCGCCAUGUUAAUCGCCUCUUGCAAAGUCCAUAUAUUCUGCAUACCAAUUUUUUCUUGGAUGGAAAUCUUCAGCCCAUUGUUAUACCUCGCGACCUUUUGAUUGUCAGUCUCGGUCAAAUGGUUUCGCUCUACCAAACGCAUGAAUUCUUCGGUAUAUUCAGAAACCGAACGGUUGCCUUGUGCACAACCUAGAUACAUACGGUAUAGAAUCUGCUCAUAAUCUGUGGGCAAGAAUCGUUCCAUCAUAAGCAACUUCAUCUUCCACCAUGUACGAACCCGCUGCUUUCCUUGCCUCUGCCUUGAAUUUUGCAAUUGAUCCCACCAUACAGCAACUGUAGCUUUUAGACGGAAAGCUACCAUCUUCACCAUUUUAUGCUCAGGAACCUCCAAAAUGUCGAAAAACCUCUCCACUUCUACAAGCCAAUCCAAGAAGUCUUCAAUCUUCAGAUUUCCCCAAAAGUUAGGGAUUUCGGCUUUAAUCCGAUAAUCGCCAAAAUUUUCGUAAUUACGAUUACGACGAUUAUUAGCCGGUGGUGGUGGUUCCUCAUAUUCUUCUUCUGACUCUGACUCGCUAUCCGGAAUAUGUUGCCUCCUAUUAUCUCUUCUCCCGCCAUCUCUACCUUCUCUUCGAUUGUCCUCCCUGCCUUCUCUUCUUUCGUCAUCUCUGCCACCUCUUCUAUUGUUGCCACCAAGAGCUUGCAACAACAAUUCUCGCAUCUCCCCAAAUUGGUUGGUUAGGUUGUCGAUCCGUUGGUUUUGAGCGCCCAGAUCCGCUCGGGUAAUUGGGGCUAGGACAUCAGCUUCUCGAUCACCCAUGAUAAGAAAAGACAAGAAUACCAAAACGGGAGAGACCCGCUCUGAUACCACUUGACGCAGCACAAGCAACAAAGGUUUCAAGCGAAACCUUGAGUAACAAGAAAUCUGGAUUCCACCAGAAAUUAAGAGGAAUUCUCUUGGGAUAAUUGUAUUAAAAUCUGUGAUGAUCAGAAACGUUAGACAAACCUGUCUAUAUACGCAACUCUCAACCCUUGAACUGCUACCGGAGUUAUUACAUUAAAACUGAAAAACAGAAUUAAUUCGGAGACUUAACUACGUAACUCCGAAACUGAAAAAACAGAAUUUAUUCAGAGAAUUAACUAUGAAACUUUGAAUGCAGUUUUGGAAGGCCAAACGAUAUCAGAAUGCCAAAAUCCAUCGUACCAUCAAGCUUGUCUUAGUGAAAUAAAGCACUUCAUUGAUUUCCACUUAAAUUAACCGGGUUCUUUUUCUGUUUUUUUAUUUUUUGCUAUGGAGUGUAAAAAUUAGAAGCUCCCAUCCCAGAGCUAUAAUUUGUGUACAUUCAUUAUCAAACAUUUCAAAUUAUUUGGGAUUUUUUUUUAAAAUAAAAAAAACUUUUGAGGGUUAUGGAGGUUCCAAGGGGUGGAUAUGGACUGUGUGAUUUGCCCCACUUUGCCAUCAAGCUUGGCAAAAGGACUAAAUUGAUUUCUACUUAAAUCAACUGCGUUUGUUUAGUGUAAGGGGGCAAAAAAAAUAAAAAAUAAAAAAGCUCCCAAAACUAUAAUUUUUAUGGUUUGCUUGUGCUACCCAACCUUUGUGGUUGGGAGACCUUACUAAACCCGAGGAUAGGGGGUGUGCUUUUUGCGACUUCACCCACCAAUGCCAAUGUGAACAAUUCAAGACCACUAAUGCUUCACCUAAGAAUGUUUCCAUAGCAACUAAUCACUUUAAUGCUCUGUUUAAUUACAAGCCCACGCUACUAAGCUCAAAAUUAUAAUUUUUGGAUAUUUAUAUUAUCAGACAUUUAAUAAUAUGGUGAACUUUUUGAAAUCUUUUUGGGGCUGUGAAGAGAUUCCAGGGGUGGAUUGUGUAAAUGUAUCGAGUCUACAUUUAAUAUGUAUUGGGUCCGCAAAAAAAGAAUUCUAUCCUUUUCUUCGUGCUAAUUAAUUAACUUAUACAGUCUAAAAGAAAAGAAUUCUAUCAUAUAGUUGGAAAAAUAAUAAAUCAAUUAUGAUUUCUUUUUUCUUUUUUUGUUCGAAAUCAACUAUGAAUGGAGUUGGACCCUUAUACAGCUCAAGAAGGGGAGGAAAAUAUGUAUAUUAGGGUCGGAGGCAAAGGUCUAGUCACCUACCGUCUUGGACAUACAACAUGGAAAUAGGGUGACACAUGCCCACAUACGACCGACGCUAGCAUAUUUGAUAAGCGUAAUUAUAUAUCUUCUAAGUUUAUCAUAGUUAUGUGUCAAUUUUAGAUCCAAUUGCACACACCUAAAAUACGAAAACAAAAUCAUAGACAAUACACUUUCCUAAUCUUUUGGAAUUUCUAGAGGCUUCCGGAUCAUAAUUUUGAAGUCGUGGACCGGCGCGGUCCUGGGUUGACUUUUUGGGGCUUCAGCACUUUUUGAAUCCCAAGAUACUGCUAAACUAUUCCAAGUGGAAGGAAAGUUUUUUUUUUUUGCCAUAGGAACAACUUUAAUCCGACGCACGUACUUCUAGGAGCCGGGGGUCAGUGUUUUUAAAUUAGUACUAUAUUGAGUAUUGUAUUAAUAGAAUAUUAUGGUCAUUGAAUCAGGCACCCGGGCACCAGUUGACCCGCAGGAGGGACCUUCAAGAGGUCCAGCGAGCACGAACCACCAGUGAGUGGACUCCAUGUUUCAUAAAUGAAUUUAAGCAGUUCAGUUACAGUAUUUGAUCUUGAAUAAGUUUUAUUCAAAUAUCAGUGUUUUAUAAGCUGUUAUAUGCUUUUAAAUAUUUUGUUUUGCAUGCUGCCGAGUGGAAUAUCCUUUAAAGGAUAUAGGAAAAGAAAUUCUAGUUAAUUAUCAGAUAAAUGGCAGCAGAAUUUUAGAGUUUACAGAAGUUCAGUUAUUCAGCAGAUUUUCUUCAGAAACUUUAUAUUUCCCUAAACCGCCUUAGGUACUCAGAUAUACAAAUGUUGCCUUCGGUAAAUAAGUUGCCUUCAAAUCAAAUGUUGCCUUUGGAUUUUAUUGGUUGCCUUCGGUUUAGCUUGACAGUUGCCCCACGAGUUCUAUGGUACCCGAACUCAUGUGGAGCAAGUAAUGCGGAUCAGGCUGACUACGGUCCCCUGAAUCCUGCUAGUUGCGGCUCAGACUGACCUUGUGUCACUGAGACCUGCGAGUACGUGUCACCCAUGGUGAUGCGAGGAAUUGACGGAUAUUAGGAAUUGACGGAAAUAAGGGGUACACCUAGGUGGUAGUUUUAAACUGUUUUCAAUGCUUUUAAGAAAUUAAUGUUGACCAUGAGUAUGAUUGGCAUAUAUAUGUAUAAUUACAUGAGUGCAUUGAUUUCAGUACAAAUAUAAUAAAGAGAAUAAUUUAGUUUGUAUAACUGUUUUUACAGUGGGGUUAAUAUGUUCUUAUGUAUUUUUCUAAACUUUGUUUUUGGGUCCACUCACCCUUUUAAUGUUUUGCGCCCCCAGACAGUAGGCGUGCAUAGUGAUCCACCACCGGGCCGUUUUCCACCUUCCGCGCUUUCCUUUCUGAUGUAGGACUUUUUGUUUUGUAAAAGAAUUGACUCCUUUGUAAAUUCUUAGUAGUCGUUCUGAUAAUUUGCCCUAGAAUUAGAAUUUAACUGUUGGAAUGUACCUAUACGUAUGCUGGCAGUUGGUUGUGUAUAUAUGCUUGUUUAGCAUGUGUAAAUGUUUUGGUAUUGAUCCAGUUACAAGGGAGACUCUGCCGAUUUUUAGGUAGGAGUCAAUCUUGUUAUUUUAUCGUGCUUUGUAGGGAAGGGCAAUUAGGUCAUUCAUGCCCGACAUCCGACAGGUGUCGGACACGCACAGGGUCCGGCUAGGAUUCCAAAGCAAAAUUUAGGUCGAGUCUUGUCAUUAAGGACAUGUUGGGCCUUAGUUAUGCAAUAGGGUCCAAUGUUGCUCAAUUCAUUGUAAAGGAUUUUUGUUUGAUAAGUGGUCUAAAAUGUGGAACAGAGCCUAACAUAACGUCCAGGGGGGAUGCUCAUAAUCAAUUUAUGAAAGCGCAUUUUACCAACAGGGGUCACAUUACUUGCCAUGACUUAGAAAAUGAAUUCCUGAAGUCCAAAAGAGGAAGUGAGGACUCGUUCAAAUUGGGACUGCUAUAUUUUGUGGAGUUUGUGAUAAUAGGUAAACCCCAAAAUGUGAAGAUAAACGAGGAGUACUUACAUUUGGUUCAUAAAAUGGACGAAUUCAACCAUUAUUCGUGGGGAAUUCCCCCCCUUAGAUAUUGUAAGCGGAUCGAGGAACCUGCAUUAGUCUCUCGAAUUUGUUGGUGAGAAUCCACGGAUAAAGUGCUUGAGUUUAGAAAGCUGAACGCUUAUAUAUUUCAAAGCAAACAGGUGUGUAGUUAAUAAUUUAUUUCAGUACUAUGUUCGUUUCAUGAGGAAAACUGUUUAGUAUUGUAUAUGACCUGUUAACUCUAUGUGUUUGAUAGCCUGUUAUACUGCGCCUCUUACGACCAAGGCAAUUGCAGAUGAGCCAACCGUAUUGGAGUUGGGGAUCAGAUGUUUUUGAAUGUGAUGCACCUAGUGUAGCUCCGCGGGUAUGUAAGGACCUUGAUGAGUUAAACUCUGUUGUGCAGCAGUUGAGGAAUGAGGUUGCAGUAUUGCACGUGAGAAGGGUCAGCUAGAGGAGAGAGUUUUACGCUUGGAAAAGUGUACCAGUCAUGCAUACGCGAGGAAGACUUGGGAUGCUGGAGAGGAGAGGAAUAAGACUGAGGAUGUUAGAGAGGAGAUGAAUAAGACUGUGGAUGCUGGAGAGGAAAGUCAGAAGAUUGAGGAUGUUGGAGGGGAGAGUGAUAAAAUUGAGGAUGCUGGAGUAGCCAAAUCGAGAGAGCAUUGUGUAUAAAAUGCUAAAGAAGAGGUGCAAUAUACACCCCCGGAUAUAAAUUGGGAUGAUCCGGGUGUGGUAUGUGUCACCCUUGUUAAAUUUCUUACGAAUCCUCCUCGAAAGAUUGACAUGUCCACUGCUGAGGGUGAAUGUGGUGAAGAUGUUAUAGUUGGGGUCCGGCAAAAUAAGGGUCAGGAAAAGAGUGAGAUUCUUGGCCAUGCGAUGAAGAGGCGAAGGGCAGUGGUGAGGGAAACUCCGUGGACAAGUCGGGAGAUUCCUAAUAUUUCGGAGGACACAAUUGCUGACCCCUUAAGGCCUGUUCCUCGUGAUUCCCUUUUGGAGGUGGUGAAAUUCUGCUGGGAAUGGGGACAAGAAGAAAAGUAAUUUCCCAUUGCCCGUCCUUAGUGAAAUGUAAAUGGUUUAUUAUGAUUAGUUAUUGAGUGAAUGGAAAAACGGAAUUGAUAAUAAUAAUGAUUGACAAAUAUAGUUCACAUGUGCGGUUAUGUGGAGAAGACGGUUCGGAAGGUUCACAUAAACUUCUUUGUUCGAUUGCUGACCAAGGAUGGUUGGUUGGAUGACUCGAUGAGCAUUGAUUGAUUUGGGAUUUUGUCGAAAUGCCCAUGCUAUGUAGUGAUUUAUUGAUUUAAUGAUUUAAUAAUGGAAACAACCAUUUUAUGUGGUCAGAUUAUUAUAUAUAUAUAUAUAUAUAACUAUAACCCAUAUACAUAUAUAAUCAAUCUAAACGAAAUUUUAACUUAUAAGCAAAACAUUUGAUUUCCAAAUAUAUAUAUAUAUAUAUAUAUAUAUUUUAAACCGGACUUCACAAUAUACCCUCCUUAAAAGAAAUUUCGUCCUCGAAAUUUAAAACUUACUGGCAUACAAGAACAACUAUGGAUAUUUCUUAUGCAUUUCUGUCUCUAAUUCCCAUGUAGCUUCUUCAAUAUUCCCAUGUAACCAAAGAACUUUAACUAGUAGCAUAAUUUUCGUUCGUAACACUUGUUCUUUAUGAUCUAAUAUCUGUAUUGGUCUUUCCUCAAAAGAUAAUUUCUCAUCUAUGUUUAGUUCUCUCCAAUCUAGGACAUGUGCUGGAUCUGGUUCAUAUUUUCUAAGCGUAGAGACAUGAAACACAUUAUGAACAUUCGAAAAUUGAGGUGGUAGUGCUAACUUGUAAGCUACUUCCCCAAUUCGUUGUAGUACUUCAAAAGGUCCAAUAAAUCGUGAGGCUAAUUUUCCAAACUUUCCAAAUCUUUUAACUCCCUUUCGAGGUGAAACUUUAAGGAAUACAUGAUCCCCAAUAUUAAACUUCAAUGGCCUUGUUCUUCUAUCAACAUAAUUCUUUUGUCGACACUGAGCUGUAAGCAAGCGUUGUUUGAUAGUUUUGAUCUUCUCUGUUGUUUCUUGUACCACAUCAGGUCCUAAUAACAUAGUUUCACUUGCUUCCGCCCAACAUAAAAGUGAUCUACAUGGUCUACCAUAGAGUGCUUCAUAUGGAGCCAUUCCGAUGCUAGAUUGAAAACUGUUGUUAUAAGCAAAUUCUGCCAAACCAAGAUGAUCUUCCCAAGUUCCAUGAAAAUUCAAAACACAAGCUCUUAGCAUAUCUUCUAAAAUCUGAAUAGUCCUUUAUGAUUGUCCAUCAGUUUGGGGAUGAAAUGCACUACUAAAAUUCAAUUGACUUCCUAAUGCUUUUUACAAAGUACCCCAAAACUGAGAAGUAAACUUUGAAUCUCUAUCAGAAACCAUAGAAAUAGGAAUUCCAUGUAAUGUCACUAUCUCUCGAAUAUAUAAUUUCCCAAGAGUUUCUGUGGAAUCUGUCGUUUUGACUGAUAUGAAAUGUGCAGACUUGGUUAAACGAUGUACAAUAACCCAUAUUGCAUCUUUACCUUUAGGUGAUCGUGGUAAACCUAUUACGAAAUCCUUUGUGAUAUGAUCCCAUUUCCAUUGUGCAAUAAGUAAAGGUUGAAGAGAGCCAUCGGGUUUUUGAUGUUCAGCUUUCACUUGCUAACAGGUCAAACAUUUUGAUACAAAAAUGGCUACAUCUCUCUUCAUACCAUUCCACCAAAACUGAUGACAUAAAUCCUGAUACAUUUUUGUACUUCCUGGAUGAAUAGUGUAUGAUGAGUAAUGAGCUUCAUGAAGAAUUUCAUUCCUUAAUUCUGGAAUUUUGGGUACAUAUAGUUUACCUAAAUACCUUAAACCAUCUUCUUCAUGAAAGGUCCAACCUUCUAUUUUAUCUCCAUCCAAAAUAUGUUCUUGAAUUGAUUUACAGGUGUUAUCCUCUUGUUGUUUUUCAACAACUUUCCCUAGCAAGGUUGGUCUUGUUACAAAAUUAUAAAGAUAAGUACCAUGCUCAUGUACGUUCACCUGUAAAUCAUAAUCUUGAAUACAAUUCAUCAUCUUCCAUUUCUGAAUUUGUAGUCUUGCUACAAAUCCAUGUAUAUUCCUACUCAGAGCAUCAGCUACUAUAUUAGCCUUCCAGGAUGAUAAUGUAGACCAAAAUCAUAAUCUUCUAAGUAUUCCAUCCAACGUCUUUGUCUCAGGUUAAGCUCUUUCUGAGUGAAAAGAUAUUUCAAACUUUUAUGAUCAGGGUAAAACUCAAAUCUUUCACCAUACAGAUAAUGUCGCCAAGUUUUUAAAGCAUGUACAAUUGCUGCUAAUUCCAAAUCAUGUGUUGGAUAAUUUCUUUCAUGAUUCUUCAGUUGACGAGAAGCAUAAGCUACUACUCUGUCAGAUUGCAUUAAAACACAUCUUAACCCUUGUUUAGAUGCAUCAGUAUAAACCACAUACCCUAUGUCCUGUUCAAGAAUAAUAAGUAUUGGUGCGAUAGUCAAUCGAGUUUUCAAUUCUUGGAAUGACUUUUCACAUUCUUGAGUCCAUAUGAAUUUCACUCCUUUUUGGGUCAGCUUGGUCAUUGGUGUAGCUAUUUGAGAAAAAUCCUUGAUAAACCUCCUAUAAUAACCAGCUAAUCCAAGGAAACUACAUAUCUCCGAGAUAUUCUUUGGCUGACUCCAAUUCAAUACUGCCUCAACUUUGGAAGAAUCAACUGAAAUACCUUUAUUGGAAAUUACAUGUCCUAAAAACUUUACUUGUCUCAACCAGAAUUCACACUUACUCAACUUUGCGUACAAUUGAUUUUCUUUUAAUGUUUGUAAAACAAUUCGUAAAUGUUCCUCAUGUUCUUCUUGAGAUUUGGAAUAUAUAAGAACAUCAUCAAUGAAUACGAUGACAAACUGAUCUAAAUAAGGUCGGAAAAUUCGGUUCAUCAUAUCCAUAAAUGCUGCUGGUGCAUUUGUCAAUCCAAAAGGCAUAACUACAAAUUCAUAAUGCCCAUAUCGAGUUCUAAAAGCUGUUUUGGGUAUAUCUUCCGCUUUAACUCGAAGUUGGUGAUAGCCAGAUCGAAGAUCAAUCUUUGAAAAGAAAUGAGAACCUCUUAACUAAUCGAAUAAAUCAUCAAUUCUUAGCAAAGGAUAUUUGUUCUUUAUGGUGACCCUAUUUAAUUGACGAUAAUCAAUACACAUUCGAAGAGUUAAAUCUUUCUUUUUCACAAAGAGAGUAGGUGCACCUCAUGGUGAAGUACUAGGAUGGAUAUAUCCUUUUGCUUGUAAUUCUUGGAGUUGUAUCUUAAGUUCUUUCAGUUCAGCUGGGGCCAUGCGAUGAGGAGGUGUAGAAAUAGGUGUUGUACCUGAGUAUAUUUCUAUACAUAGGAAUUGAAGGAGCUCCCUGCUAGAGGAAAGAAGAUUGGAGUAAAGUGGGUACAUAAAACGACAUGAGAUAGACUAUACAGAAGUGUUUGUACCUGUGACAUGGUUGGAUACGAUUCGUAUGGUAAUAACACUUUCAACUCAAAGACAAUGGACAAUCUACCAGCUGGAAGUGACCUGCAUGGGGAAUGAAAUGAGGAAGUGUUUGUUGAGCAGCCUCAAGGUUAUGUCCACAAAGGCAAUGAACAGAAAGUCUAUAGGCUUAAAAAGGCUUUAUACAGACUUAAGCAAGCUCCCCGAGCUUGGUAUAGUUGUAUAGAGGCUUGUUUCGUGAAGGAUUUGAAAGAUGUCAUUAUGAACACACCUUGUUCACAAAGACAACAAAGGAAUGUAAAAUUCUAAUUGUGAUUCUUUAAGUUGAUGAUAUCAUAUUUACUGGAAAUGAUGAAUCUAUGUUUGCUGAGUUUAAGAGAUCAAUGAUGCUUGAGUUUGACAUGACUAAUCUUGGGAAGAUGAGGUACUUUCUUGGUAUAGAAGUUAUGCAAAAGACUGAUGGAAUAUUCAUUAGCCAAAAGAAAUAUGUUUUGGAGGUGCUGGAAAAAUUUGGAAUGAAUAAAAGCAUUUCGGUUCUUGAUCCCAUUGUCCCAGGUUGCAAACUUUUGAGAGAUGAAGAUGGAGUACAAGUAGACAGUACCAUCUACAAACAGAUUGUGGGAAGCCUCAUGUAUUUAACUGCUACUCGACCAGACAUGAUGUUUGUGGUAAGUCUUAUUAGCAAUUAUAUUUGUAAUCCUACUGAGCUUCACAUGGAGGCAGCAAAGAGAAUUUUAAGGUAUCUAAGAGGAACAACCGGUUUUUGGGUGUUCUACAAGAAGGGAGGAAAAAGAGAACUGAAUAUUUAUACGGAUAGUGACUAUGCAGGAGACCAAAAAGACAGGAAGAGCACCUCAGGUUACGUUUUCUUAUUCAGUUAAGCGGUGGUGUCCUGGUCAUCAAAGAAACAGCCGAUAGUAACUCUAUCCACCACUGAGGCAGAGUUCAUGUUGCUGCCUCUUAUGCGUGUCAGGUAGUAUGGUUGAGAAGGAUUUUUGGGAUGCUUGGUAAAAAUCAAGAUAGGCCUACAAUUGUUUGCUUUAAUAGCAGCUCAGUAAUCAAACUUGCGAAGAAUCAAGUGAUGCAUGGACCCAGCAAGCAUAUAGACGUUCACUUCCAUUUUCUUUGGAAAGGUGGGAACUGUGGAAUUGGUGCAUUGCAACAAUCAAGAACAAAUUGCAGAUGUGAUGGCAAAACCUCUCAAGUUGGAUGCAUUCGUGAAGCUGCGAAGUAUGUUAGGUAUUUGUCCAGAACCAUGUGUAAACUGAUUGCAAGUUGCAUUCAGUUUAAGAGAGGAAUUGUUAGGUUGCAGUUAGAAUUUUUGAUAGUGUGUUACUACUUGGUUAAUAAAUCCUUAGUGUUUAGGGAGUAUUUGUUUGUUUUGACUUAAUCUGUUACCACGUAAUAGGUUUAUUAAAUGUGGGCUGUUUUUCCAUUCUUAGGUUACUCUAUGUAAGGCUACUUAAACAACCAUUGCUUCUAUUAUUAACCUAUCAAUUUAUUCUUUAAAAUACUUGUAAUCUGAAAAGCUCUUGUUUUCAACAAGGAAAGGAAAAAGAAAAAGAAAAAGAAAAAGAAAUUUAGUAAAGUAAUUAAUUAAUUUACAUAAGCUAAUUCUAGGGAUAUAUGAAAUUGAACUUCAUUACAAAAAUUUACUUAAGAAUAAAAAUCAGAAUCAUAAAACCACGAAAUUCAUGGGUUCUUUGAAAGAAAAGAAAGUAAGAUGAAAAUAAUAUGCAUGUGGUCUUUCUGACACAAAAGAAUUAAAAUAUUGUUUACCUGAUUGUGUAGAGUUUUUCUGUCAGUUGUUGUUUUCUUAAAUUAAAUCAUUCUGGUAAGACCUAUGUUUCGGGUUGACAUUGUUUUUUCUUUGAUGCAGAGGUAUAUAGAGCAGCACAAUGAGGUUGAGCUCUCAGCAAUUUGUUUGUAAUUAAAUUUUCUUUAUUUUGUUUUGUUUUUAGAUUAUAACUUUUAUAUUAAUGCUUGAUAUUUGUUGUUUUGAGUAAAAAGAGUAUUAAUGCUUGAUGAAUUCAUUCAAUUUGCAACGUGUGGAUAUGAAUUGGGCCAAUCGUGAACAAUUAGGCCCAAAAGUUUUUAAAUUUCAAUUGGGCUAAAACUUAAAAAAAUUCAAGAACAAAAAAACUCAAUUGAGCUGAAGAGUCGGUCCAAACUGUAAAAACUGGAACUGAAUUGGAUCUAAACCAAUUCGAGUUGGUCCAAUUUUCACGAAUAUUUUAGUUAAAACCUAAAUUAGACCAGACCAAAUGAACAGUACCAAUUUCAAUUUUAAGUUGAAAUGAGAACAGGACCGAACUAGACCGUAACCAACCCUAAUUGAUUAUACUAAUUUCCGCAGAAUAUAUUUUGUCCGCAAAGAAGAGCUUUAAAUUCAUGGAUGAGUUGGACCGUAUUGAAAUUUCAACCAAAGAAGUCAUAGAAAGCAAAUUCGGCAGUGAUGUUGAAAAUCAUCUGGGGAUGCUGUGCUCAUUGAUACCGGAAUUCAUCCAUGAGGAGAAGUUUGGAGUAGAUUCUGUAAUGCUGUGAGUCCUUUUUUUAAAUAAUAAAUAAAUAUUUUUAAAAUUUGAAAGUAAAUAUAGAAAUGCAUACUGUCUUCCAACUGAAGAUAUCUUUCUUGCAGGAUUACGCCAUUCGGAGAUUCUGAAAGGAUGCUUGAAGAGAGGCAUGGACAUACGAUUGCCUCAAGUUUAUCAUCUCUCCUCUACUAUAUGAUUCAUUUAAUUUUAAUGAAUAAAUGUUGUUACAUGUCUUGCAGGAUUCAGAAAGGAAAUAUGGGGAAAAGGUUGAUAUCUACUAAGAUUAAGGACAUGCACAUUUGGAUUGCGAAACUAGGUCGUUCCGAAAUGUCAACAGAUGAGCUGAAGCGUGAUAUCAUUUUUGGUGAUCUCUAUGCAGAUGACAGAAGUAAGCAAUUGUACAUAAAUGUAUUUUGGGUGACCUACUAAUUCACCUAAUUCCUGUUUCUUUGCAGGUGCCUUUGUCCAACAACUAGAGUUGCUAGUCUUCCUUGUUCCACAGUGGAUUUUGAAAGAUCCGGAAGAGAAUCCAAAUAAUUUUAGGUAUUUUUUUUAAUAGUUAGAAAUGCAGAUGCUAAUUGUAUAUAUCUUGCCCUAGAAAAUUAAAUUAAUGAAUAUUUUCCUGCCUUUUCUUGUAGCAUCUGUAGAAAGAAUACUAAAGAUGCAAAAAUAAAGCUUUACCAAGAAAUUGAUGAAAGAACACUUGGAGAAUCACCAUCAUUUAAUUUAAGCAAAGAUGAUUUCCUGCUAAAUCUAAGAAGAUCGAUUGUAAAGGAUUUCGGGGUAUGGUUUCUGCCCAGUUCUUCAAUUUUAUUCUCAUAUUAGAUUCAAUUGCAUAUUCAUCCUCUUCAGCAAAGUAUAUAUUGAACUCUUUUGUUUGAUUAAAAGUAAUUAACUUGAUGUAGUUUUCUUGUUAGUCUUCUGGUCCAAGUCUACACACUACAGUUAUUAGCCCUUCUGUUUUACUUUUGUUUUGCCUGUUACUGUGAAUUUACCUUCAUUUCUUUAUGAUAUUGGAAUUUCAACUGGUGCCUGGGGAUAGUAUCUACUAACUAAUGCUAGGCCUUCGUGUUUAGUCAUCUCACCGGUUGACUACUAGUCCACUAUUCUUAUACCUUUUGACUUUUUAAUUAAAUUUUUGUUUCUCAAUGAAAAAUGGAAUCUCGUACUGGUUCAGUGUUUUACUGAUUGAUGGUAUACAUAUUUCGUCAUGCGUGUGGAAUGAAGAUGCUAAACUAUGUCUAUGUAUAAGGUAUUAAGCUCUGCAUGAUUUAUUCUAGUCUAGUAUACUCGGGCGUUUAGCACGCACUGCAAUGCCUAGAUCAUAUUAUUGUUCUGCCUCGAUUGGGAAUUCGAUUUUAGAAAUCCAUGGUAGAAUUCUAUGAUCAACUAUAUAUAUAAUUUUUUUAAUUUUUUUAAUUUUUAUUUCAGUUGUAUUCUUGUGACACUAUGGUUAAUAUAUGCGUGUUUGCAUCGCACUUUUACAAUGGAAUUGGUCCCGAUUGUAGCAUAUUUAUGCCAUGAUUGGAUUGUGGGAUAUUUAUGUGCUUGGAUUAUAGUGAGGGGAUCCAGUUUGGUGUCGUUGUCAUGACCUGAUUGCAUAUCUUGUUCUCGGGUCUUAAUGUAAUUUCAAGUUCUAGCAUUUUUCACGUCAAUGGCAGCCACAUAUUCUUUCUCAGUAUCGGAGAGUGGUGAUUGCAGUGAUAAUUCUAUGAAUGACUACCCAUAUCACAUGAAUUUUUGUUGUCAAUCACAGGAGUGCAGCACCUGCUGGGAUGAUCUCUACAAUGACGAAGGAUUGAGCGUAGACACACUGCCUUGUGGUCACGCAUUUCACUGCAAGUGCGUGAGGGAGUGGUGUGUAGAGAGUGGCAGAAACACAACAUGCCCAUUGUGCAGAGGGCCAAUAAUACCGAGAACCAUGUGAGUAUCAGCAAGCCUUCUGCCUCUUCACCUAAUUAUUCCCCUCCAACCCAAAAAAUUGAGUUGCACCAAUUCAUAAAGAACUCGGAAAUUGAAGCAUGCCAUUUAACUUUAGAUUGCAAUCAAUAUAUAUGUUUAAAUAUUUUCGCAGUGCUUGAUAUUAUAAUCAUUUUUGAGGUAUUUAGAAUGAUUAGCAUGUAUCCUUACCUAUUUCAGAUUUUAUUCCAUAGAUUAAGAAAAUGAUGUGUUUGAGCCAAGAUGAAUCGCAGGGUGGACAAUUCAUUCUCUCAUGAAUUCUGUUGGAGAGAGAUAUGUGUUUCGUAUAUUGAGGUGAUGUAGAAAAUGGUUGAGGUAGUACCUGUGAAGAUGGAAAAUGGAAGAUGUGUGAUGCGUGUCUUUGUGCAUCCUGCUUCCCUUUAUGAUUAUUCAGAUGCAUGAUGUUAUUUCUCUCAAAUUAUUGGGCUUCUUGUGUAAUUUAUUUAUGAACUUCUUUACCUAAGUAAGAUAAACUAAUAGGCAGAACAAGAAAACAUGAAAGCUAAUGACAUUCUUAUUUGAAUUAUUGCAGAAAUAUGGCAUGAGGGAAAGCUGAUGACUACGUUGAUGCUGAUGAGAUGACUUUGAACUAGCAAACUUUGUAGGUUAUGAGUUGUUAUGUUUUUCUUCUCGGUUAAAGAUCUAGUCACUUGUUAUAAAAUAACCUAGAAUAUGGGCGAUAAUUCAGAGCUGCACGUAAAGUAGAUGAGACACAGCAUUUAACGAGGUUCGGCUAUGCCUACGUCCUCGGAGAGCAGCAGUAGUAACUUUUCCACUAUGUAAAAUAAUAGGGCUACAAGUUUAGUGUUUACAAUAUAUGUGGCUCACUGAAUUUUCUCUCUAGGAGAAUUUCUCUCUGCUCUCUCUUUCCUCUUUCUUCCUUCUCUUCCUUUCUCUUUUUUCUUCUCUUCUUCUUUCCGUUUCUCUUCUUAUUUAUAGGCUGAAAUAAUCACUAUUCAUCACUGUUCACCCGUGACAGACAAACUCUAUCAAAGCCGCCAAAUGAACAGUAAUGAACAGUAAUGAAAACUCUAUCAAGCCGCCAAAUGAACAGUAAUGAACAGUAAUGAAUAGUUAGUGGGCUCCACAUGUUUAUUCUUUUAUUCUUUUACAACACUCCCCCUUGGAGACCACUAAUGAUAUGUCGGUUGUAUCAUUAAAGACUUGCUUGGAGAAAACCUAGUAAGGUAGAGAACUGAUGGAAAGAAGAGUACAACAAUCUAUAUAGCAUACUUCUGGAUGCUCCUCCUGAUUAAUAUCUCCCCCUGAUGUCUUCAUGACUAUCUUUUGGAUUGAGAAUCUUUCGGAGUGAGUGGAUGAUGUAGCCACCAACAAUUCAUAUAGUAAAUAUAUUUUCAGUGAGCUAUCUCUAUGUAAAUCAUAGAAAUUUUCAGAGUCCGCAUAUCUAAUAACGACUGGGCUAUUUAUAAGUUCACUUGAAAGAAUAUGCCCAUACAUGGUGUUAUGCGGAAAUAGCAUCAAAUAUACCUCACAUCAUCCCAAAAUGAUGGUGAUGGAGUUGAGCCUUAUCUGGAAAAUAUGAUGUCCGGUCCAACAUACUUCCGGAAAAUCCUUAAAGUGCCCAACGGAUAAUUCUCAUAAAAAUGCUUCAAUACUUUCUUAGUAUAAGCAAGUAUCUCGUUGGCAUAAUGCUCGAUCUUUAAGUCGAGACAAAUAUUUCUGGAAUUCUUGAGAAGCUUGAAUGUGUUGCAAACACAUUAUAAUCAAUAUACUCACUGAGGCAAUUUAUGUACAUUAAUAUUGAGUACAGAUUUCGUGCUUCAGGCAUAUGUCCACAGACUUGCUUCAUGCAAUUUCAAUCCUUUCAAGGAUUUUGUUUAAAGGGAUUAAACUCUAUGACACAUUAUAUAGCUUUAACCUAGCUAUUUAUACAUCUUUAGGGAAUCACUUCAGGUGAUAUGCUCUGUGCAUUUAAUAACCCUUAAAGAUAACAUGUUGGUCUCCGUAAAUGUGCAAUAAAGGGGCACAAUUGAAUCUAUAAAUAUGGAGAAAACCCAACAUCCCUUGUUUAUGUCAAAAACAUUUAUUCCGAACACCCAAGUAUAACUUUUAAUAUUAACAUUUUUUAGGAUUCGUACUGUGGGUUUGUUCUUUCACGUUCAUUCUCAUCUAUAAUGGAAUUGCCUCAUUCCAUUUUGGCCAAUGAUAUUGUCGACAUUUAAUAAUUGAACGUGGUUCCAAUCAACACAGCCCAUUGAUGAUUUGAGUAGCUACUCCAAAACCAAAAAUUGUCAUUCAUCAAUUCAUGAUCCCACCAUUCUCAUGUGCAUGCGCAUGCAUGAAUUAUAAGCAUUUAUUUGCCUUUGGGUACCCAAGCCACUUCAUGGGGCUUUUAUUAUGUGAGAAUGUGGAUUAUAACCUCCAUUGGAGCGUUAUUUAGUAGUAGGGCGUGGAUAAUCUCUAUUUAGGGAGUUGGAACAUUGAGAACCCAUAUAUCUGUCAUGCUGCAGGCAUGCCACAGAUUAAUACAUACAUGUCAAUUAAUUUCUGGGACUUUAACCCAUAUUAUGGGACUUUAACCCAUAUAAUUUGCUACGCAUUAGGCGUGCAUAAUAUCAAUAUUGACAUGUCAAAGGAUUGUCCAUUUGGGACUUCAAUCCACAUCAUUUGCUACGCAACAGGCGUGCAUCAUAUUGAUCACUGCUAUACCCAUGUUAUGUUCUUAUGGGACUUUUAAUCUGUGCAGUGUAUUAUCAAUGUAUACAACUUGCAAUCUGUAAAAUUUGCAUUAAUAAUUCAUGGAUACAUACAAGUCAUUCUUUUGGAACGGACUUAUCUCCCCAUUUGGUUACCUUUCAAGAUAAAAUAUCAAAUAGGUAUAUAAGCAUAAAAUAACACAAGUAUUGCUUACAUCCUUAGGUGGGAGAAACUUUUCUCAAGUAUCAUUCAAGCUCAUAUCAGCCCAGUAAAUGUAAUGUAGCGCUUGAUGAUCUAGUUAUAUCCUGCAAGAGCAAAAAUCACAACUCUUUUCCCUCUGUCAAAACAAAUAACCCUUAUAGUUAGGAUUACUUCAUGGAUUCAUUCUUCAGAUGUUCAUUCUAAAGAAAUAAAAUCUCUUAUGAAUAGAGAGUUAUAAAAAGAGAAAAAAUGCAAAAAUAAUGUGAUAUUGAUUGCAAGAGCAGGUAAGCAAUCAGGGAAGGAAGCUGGUGGGAGCAGACAAUAAGCUCUCAUAUCUCCUAGUCUAGAAGGACCUCAGGAGAUUAGAGCAUAAGGCCGCCUUUACAAUUCCCUGAUCUUGCAGAAACAUGAUCAGGGAUAGUCUUGCUUCCUAAAUGGAUGAUCAGAGAUAGUCUUGCUUCUCAGGCAUAUUAAGUGCUUACUGAUAAGAAAAACAAGUAGAUAUCGCAUCACUAGGUAUGGAGUAAACUGGAUGUCUUCUGCAAAUAAAAUUUCGUUAGUAACACAUUUAUACACAAAUACAAUGAAUAGGUAGAACCGGUGAAUUUCAAAUUAACCAUAGGAAAAUUGCGAGAUUCUCGGGAUGCUGUUGAAAAAGUGCGAGAUUUUCGGGAUGCUUUUGAAAAAGUAGCUCCGUGAAAUCCGUAAAGCAAGAUCGGCUUUGAAAAUAAUGCUUGAAAAAGCCGAAAGUGCCGACAGGCAUUAUUAGAGGCCACGUGAAGUUUUGGACUCUAGGAAAGAAAAAGAUAAUAUGGGGAUUCGAGAAGAUAUUGGGGUCCUGAAAAACAGUAGCCAUAUUUCCUCCUAUAGAUAUAGCCUUUGUAAAACUUGAUUGGAGCAACUGCGUUUCAACUCAAAUUUCUUCAUUUUCUGAAACUUUAGUUUUCCUAAGACUUUCUUCGAAACCUUCUCAAAAAUGGCUUCCUCUUCUUCCUGCCCAAAUUAUUUCAAUUUAAAUGAUGCUCCAACAGCAAACAGUGACGCCAAAGUUUGGCGUCCAUCCUUUGUAUCCCAAAAUCGUCAUCUCACAGUUAAUGAUUCUGUGAUGAUGAAUGAUGCUACUGCUGUCAUAGUAGCUAGGAAUUUCAUUACUCCAAUGGAUGAAAUGCUGUUAACAGGGAGGUCUGAGGAAGAGGCUAUUGAUGACUCAAUGGCUUUUAGCAUUCAGAGUGCUGUUUCUGUUUCUAACAUGGCUGAUCGUUUGCGUGUUAGAGCAAACGAGGUUGAAAAGCUGACAACUGAAAAUUCGUCUCUCCAAAGAAUGCUUCAUGAGUCUCAACAGGAGGUUGAGAAACUUAAAGGAGAGAAUAAUUCCUUGUUGAAACUGGUGAGUUCGUACUCAGUUGAUACACUGAGAAGGCUAGACAUGCUGCAGGUCUCCAAUGAAAGAAUUUUGGGAGACCACGAGAAGCUCAUGGCUAAGCUUAAGAGGCGCCGUCCUCUUCCUUCAGAGGCUUCCAGAACAUAAUGUAAUUUUAUAGAUUUUACAGGGCCUGCACCUUCAUUGCAGGUGGAAAAAAUCUAUCUGUUGUAUGUUUCUGUAAUAAUAAUUGCGCACAUUCUUAAACUUGCACCUGUGGUUUUUACGUCUUUUCAAAAUGACGGUUUGGAACCUUGUGCCUUAUAGGUUCAAAUAACCACAUUGUCUCUCCCAAAUUGCAUGGUAGCCCGGAACUUUUGGCCUGGGCACAAAACUCAGAAUUUAUUUGCCCUUUUCAAAUGGACAUGAAAUAUGAAUUGAGUAAAAGCCACGAUAAUAUCGCAAUAUAGUAGUGAAGAGCAUUAACUACUAUAUACCCACAACUUCAAGUUCAGGAUCUCUCAUAUAUUUGGAUCCAUGGGCUUCCGGCCCAGGUAUAAUAAAAUAUGUGGGGAGCAUCAAUUCAUUAUUUGAAGUUUAUAUUGAUAUUAUCCAUUUCGCGGUGUAUUCUUAACAACCGGAAUUCACAAAAUAUAUUUCUUCCUUGAGGUGUCGAUUAUAACAGAAUCGAACUUUAUUAAAUUCAUCAUCUUCUUAUGCUAAAGAAAUAUGUGGUGUACCACAAUUUGUAAUAAUACCUCAAUACUCUUAAAUUUUGAACUUCAGGCCAAAGCCACAUAUUCUCAUGGUAUGGACAUUUUUACAAUUUUCUGUACAUAUUCCGGGACUUCAAGCCCUUACAUAAUUGUCCAUAUUUUGAGGAACUUCUGGCAUCUCAUUUAAUUUCUCAUCCAUGAGUUUAAGGAACUGCAGGUUCCCUUUUGUAUAUAGUGACGGUUUACCCAAAAUGGUUCAUAUUUAUGCAUACGUCACUAUUCAUGUGAAUAGUACUGUUCAUCAAGUCAUGAAUACAUAUCUAUUCAUGUGUACAGUACAUCUGCCAGUACAGUUAUCAUCCAUGUGUACGGCACUAUGAACCAAUACGGUACUAUUACAUCAUUAAGGAACCCCAGGUCCUUAUUCACAUGUCAGGGAUCAAGGACCUUUAAGUCCAAUCACAUGUUUACAAGUAUAGUACCGGAGAGACUGCCAGCUCUCAUAUCAAUAUCAUCAUCAAGGAUCUUCAAGUCCUGAUGUAAUUGUAUGAUGAGGAUCAAGGAAUUGCUGGUCCUGAUCUGCAUACUGUAAAAACUCAUCAUACAGCACAUUUAGUCUAUAAAAUAAAUUGCUGGUAAAUAAAUUACUGGUAUGGACGAUAAAACCCGCACCACACUUUAAAUAAAAGUAAAGGCGUGGACGAUAAACCCGCACCACCCUUUUAAAUAAAUGUAAAUGUGCGGUAAUUUAAAUUCAUAAAUUAAACGUGCGUGUAUGGGCACUAAUUCUGCUCCAUACUUUUAAAUGAACGUAAAGGCGUGGACGAUAAACCCGCACCACCCUUUUAAAUAAAUGUAAAUGUGCGGUAAUUUAAAUUCAUAAAUUAAAUUGUUAGUAUUAGUAACGGUCUCCCACUGAUAAUAUGUUUAGUAUUACCAAGGGUCCAUUUUUGUUAAUGGUUAGUAAUAGAAAAGCAGAUAAAUAUAGUAUAUUAUAUUACCAUCAACUUUUCAUAUAUAUAUAUAUAUAUUAGUGGAAAGCUAGAUGCGUUGGCUUUUCUUCUUUACAUCAACAUAAUGGUUAGUAUUAUAAAUAAUAGUGCAGCACAAAAAUUAUACCUGAGAGCUUCUCGUGCUGAUAACGUGUUAUAAAAUAACCUAGAAUAUGGGCGAUAAUUCAGAGCUGCACGUAAAGUAGAUGAGACACAGCAUUUAACGAGGUUCGGCUAUGCCUACGUCCUCGGAGAGCAGCAGUAGUAACUUUUCCACUAUGUAAAAUAAUAGGGCUACAAGUUUAGUGUUUACAAUAUAUGUGGCUCACUGAAUUUUCUCUCUAGGAGAAUUUCUCUCUGCUCUCUCUUUCCUCUUUCUUCCUUCUCUUCCUUUCUCUUUUUUCUUCUCUUCUUCUUUCCGUUUCUCUUCUUAUUUAUAGGCUGAAAUAAUCACUAUUCAUCACUGUUCACCCGUGACAGACAAACUCUAUCAAAGCCGCCAAAUGAACAGUAAUGAACAGUAAUGAAAACUCUAUCAAGCCGCCAAAUGAACAGUAAUGAACAGUAAUGAAUAGUUAGUGGGCUCCACAUGUUUAUUCUUUUAUUCUUUUACAACAUCACUCUGUUUGACAAAAAGGAAAAAGAAAAAAGAAAUAGUCACUCUGUGAAUGUACUAACCAUUGUGGGCGUAGAUUAUGGAUUUUUGAUGGGAGCAUAACCAUUUGUGAAAGCUGACUACGCAAUUGCAUGCUCCUACAAUCACUUCAUGGAAGCUAGUAAAAGGGUCGGAUUUAGAUUAAGCAUUUUUGACGUGUUUAUUAUCCUGACCCGAACCCAAAAAUGGGGGCAUGGGUUUGAUUUGAAGUGGGCCAAAUCGAUUUGGGAACGGAUUACCCACAGCCGUUAGAUUGCAACGGUCACAAAGACAUCAGAAAUAAAGUAAAAGCUUUACCAAUUAAAGUAAAGUGCCUUGACUUGUGCGCGUGCGUGAACAUGGAAGAGGGGUCGGUUGCUGGGAUGGGACCUUUUUUAUUUUAUUUUUACGUCGUCUUUAUGUUGUCUUUUUUUUUUUUAUAUAAAAAAGUCUAUGUUCAUAGAUCAUCUUUGCAAAAAAUUAGACAUCAAAACUAUUUCGACAUCCAAUUGUGUCCUACGAAAUCAAUGAAUACGGUGCUUCAAGAAAGUAUUAAAAUUUCAAUAACUCAAUUGAGUAGUUAAAUAAUAUCGAAUUCAAGUGAUUUUUUGUGGAGAUAAUCUUUGAAUGAUUAUCCAAAAAAUAGAUGUUUUGGAUUAGUAAAAUACAAUGCGAAAGGGCCUUACAAGGUUGUCCAAGUUUAAAUAAAAAAAUGUGUAAGAAAAGACAAACUUGUGCCCACACGGCCCGACCCAAAAAAUAAAUAAAACCGGUAAAGCCCGGCCCCUGCCCAUUGACGAACAUUACCUCCAACGUACAAAGAAGACACCCGCCGCCUGAAGACAGAACCCUAUCUCGCGCUCUCUCUCUCUCUCUCUCACUCUCAGUUUCCUUGCACAGCACAGACAUGGUGAAGCACUACAGGCCUCCCGUAAGUUCUAAAUCUCCUCAAUAAGUUGCUCAUCUAUAGGCUAUAUCAUCAUCAAUCACUUUCAAAUCAAAAUUUCAAAUUUGUAAUAUAUAAAUAAACAUUUUCUCUUAACUUAGACACAGCUGCUUAGUUUUCUUUUGUCUAAUUUUUUCAGGGGAAGAAAAAGGAAGGUAAUGCUGCAAGGUACAUCACCAGGUCACAAGCCGUCAAGCAACUUCAAGUCAGUCUACCCCUCUUCAGGUCUGUCUGUUUUUCUCCAUCUUCCUUCCCAUACCUACCUCUACAGAUCAUGGACAGAUUAAACUUGUAAUUUGUAUCAUCCAUUCAUUCUCCUGUGUAUAUAUAUAUAUAUUCCUAAAGUUUAUUAUUGUUCUUUCUUCAGUGAUGACUGAGACUAGCUCAGCUGCAUAUAUUUUCUUUUUGUUAUAAUUAUUAUCUAUAAACGUUUUAUUCUUUGUAAACUAAGAAAAUAAUAAUUUGUCUUGUACCUAUUACGCAGUAGUAUUUCAUGAUGAUUUUUAUGGCUAUUCAUGCAAAUUUUAGGAAACUAUGUAUUCUCAAGGGGAUAUUCCCAAGGGAGCCAAAGAAAAAGACCAAAGGGAAUCACCAUACUUAUUAUCACUUAAAGGAUGUUUCAUUCAUCCAACAUGAACCAUUACUCGAGCGCUUAAGAGAGAUCAGGGCUUAUCAACACAAAAUAAAGAAAGCCGAGGCCAAGAAGAACCGGGAUCGUGCUACUCUUCUCACACAAAGAAGACCUUCUUACAAAUUAGAUAAAAUUGUUUUGCAGAGGUUAACUUUUUCUUAUUCUUAUUCAAAAUAAAAUUUUUAUUAAAAGUAUGCUGACGUUGCUCUCCCCCCCUCCCCUCUUUCUUUCAUUGUUUGUCAUGAAUCUCUGCCGAUUGUCAUUUGUUAUGUUCCACGAAAUUGUGCAGGUAUCCGAAAUUCCUUGAUGCUCUUAGAGAUUUGGAUGACUGUCUCACAAUGGUUCACCUCUUUGCUGCCUUACCUGCUAUUGAGGGCCGUAUUGAAGUGAAACGCAUCCAUAACUGUCGGAGGUGAGACUGGCGUUGGAGCAUGUGAAAAAACAAUUAUGUUGAAUUGCAUCAUUCCAUGCAUGAUCUGAUUUUACCGAGUAUGAUUUUCUUAAGCCCUUUGUUGCUUUCAUAUUUUUUUCUCUAGGUUGGCUCAUGAAUGGCAAGCUUACAUAUCUCGUACUCAUAGAUUGCGUAAAGUCUUUGUGUCUGUUAAAGGCAUAUAUUAUCAGGUGCGGUAGCAUACCCUAUAUCAUGGUUUUUUUUAAUGUUUAACUUUAACUGUGGCAUCUUGUGUUUUUUGGGUACAGAGGAUUUAUACGGUACCGUUGUGUUGUAUGUCUGUGCAGGCUGAGGUUAAAGGGCAAGAGGUCACAUGGCUGGCUCCUCACCCUUUGCAGCAAGUUUUGACUGAUGAUAUUGACUUCAAUAUCAUGCUAAACUUUUUGGAGUUUUACGAGGUUUCAUUCUUUUAUUCUUCUAUUUUAAAUCAAUAUAUGUGCUAGCUGUAAAUGGUAUUUCGUAACUUUAGCAUCCAUUAAGCUUCUUCUUUGCUUUCCUUCCAAUGAACUGGUUACUUGAUCUUCUUGAUCAUACAUGCGUUAUAAUAUCCAUUAAGAUUAUUCUUUCCUUUUCUUAUAAGAAGUCUUUGCUCCCUCCCCGGUGCAGGCACUUCUUGCCUUUGCGAAUUGUCAUUUAUAUCAUUCCAUAAAUGUGAGGUAUCCACCCAUUCUUGAUCCUCGAUUGGAAGCUGUAGCAGCAGGUGUGCAUUUUUACUAGUUGCUUUCCUUAGCUUCAACUUAGCGUUUUUGGCAAUGUUGAGUUGUGGAUCUUGUGUGUGUUAAUGGAGCAUGAGUAUGAUUUAAUUCGAUUGUAGAUCUUUAUGCUCUAUCAAGGUACUUUGAUGCAAACUCUCAAUCCUCUGCGUGGGAUAGCCAAACUCCAAGUUUGUCUGGAUCUGGGAAAGUUGAGAGCCAGCAGAUUGGACCUUCGAUUGAUGAGUCUGAACUAAGACUUGCACAACUGCAGCAUCAACUCCCCUCAAAUGAACCUGGUGUAUUGAUGCACCUUGUUGGGGAUGUUCCGGGUGAGGAUAAAGAGGAUAACGAUACGAGGGAGUGCACGAAACUCUUCAAAGAUAUGAAAUUUUUCUUGAACCGUGAGGUAAGUCCUAAAGUUUUACGUUUGAUUUCAGAAAUACAUUUAUUUUCUUUUUCAAAACUUAUUUUCUUACCAGUAAUGCGUCACUCAAUUUUGUAAUGCUAUAUCUUUCUUUUAGUUGAUCCGCAGUAGAACAUGUACUUUCUCUAUGUUCAGGUUUACAGAGAGUCUUUGCUUUUUAUCAUACCUGCUUUUGGUGGAAUUGUUUCCUGGCAAGGAGAUGGGGCUCCUUUUGAGGAAGAUGAUGCCAGCAUCACCCAUCAGGUAUUCUGUUACAUUAUCUUUACAUCAAGUCAUUGAUUUGUUAAGACAUCACACUUGGUCAACAUAUACGACAACUGUAGUGUCACUUGCCAAAGAAGGAAACGAAAAUACUAAAAGCUAGUCUUUAGUAUAACAGUUCUGAAUGCUACACUGCUUCUAUGUUCUGCAGAUUAUUGACAGGCCAAGGCAUGAUGGAAAGAUCUGUGGUAGACAAUAUGUUCAGCCACAGUGGGUCUAUGAUUGUGUAAAUGCUCGGAUCAUUUUACCAACUGGGGAUUAUUUGGUGGGAAGGUAAUAUUGAAGGACAUUUUCUCUUAUUGUGCGUGUGUUUUGUUCAUCUCUCUACCUCGCACCAUGAUGAAAUGACUAGUUAUAAGACUCGUGCUAUGGUCUGCUUUCCUUGGCUGUGUUUUUCAUUUCUCUAUUGGCUAAUAAAAUUUCAUGACCUGUAAGAUCAUUGAUUUAGUGCUCUUUUAACAGGGAUCUUCCUCCACACUUGUCACCUUUUGAUGACAAUGACUAUUUCGAGAUCACUGAACGAGGGAAGGCUGCUGGCAUAAAUGAAGUCCUGCCACUGCCUGGAAUGGAAAGAGAAGACUUGGAAGAUCCUCUGAAGUUACUGGCCGAAGGUGUUAUUAACCGAGCAGAAGCAGAAGCUGCAAAGGAAAAGCGGAAGAAGGUACGUAGGCAGGUUUUGAAGAAUGUAAUGCUUUGUAAUGUUGAGAUGCACGAUAUCUUUCUGCCAUUUUAUGAUGUGAUCAUAUGCAAGGAAUUUAACUAAAUUCUGGCAUGAUGUAUGCAGAUGAAGGCUCAUGAGAAGCAGUAUCAUCAUGAAUUAAUUAUGGAAAUUCAGGGUGUCACACAUUCAUCAUCUAUCUCGAAUAUAGAUAAUCUGAGCGCUGAUAGGGAAGAACCUCAUCAUGAUUAUGAGCAAGUUGACGAGGAUAACAGAAUUAUGUCUGAACUUGAAUGGUCACGUUCGUUCAAGGGGCGUAUUAAAGCCAUGAGGGUAAGUAUUUGUUAAUGCUAGAUAUCAUGCUACUUUUAUUGGUCUCUAAAGUGUGGCAUUAUUAAUUAAACAGGUCAGAAUAGCUGUUUGAAAACAGAACAGUCAAAUUUUGUUUGGCUUGAUUCCAUUGGGAACCUGUUUUGAGAUUUGAUAGUAUAUUUUAUUACUGGCUUGAACAAGGGUUAGCUUGUCAUAAUAUAUCUUCUUCAUUUGGUUUUGAACUUGCAUUGCAGUAGAAUUUUGUGGUGGUUGAUCUGUAGAAUUCCUUCAGAACUCCAGAAUCUACCUCUUCUUUUAUCUUGUAAAUGCAAUGGAUAAUAUUUUGUCCUGGAUAUCUGAUUCUUAGAUGUUUCUUCAUUCAGAUAAGCAGGCAACGAAAGAAGCAGUGUGCUGAUGUUAUCAGGCAACGGAGGAAAAUCUUAGAAGAACAUGAAGUCUGAAGUUGGACCAGUUGAAAAGAAUGUAUCUUGCAGACACGUCUUUUAGGAAUUUCUCGAGAUUAAGAGCCCUAUGGUUAAAUUUUGCAGUCCUGAAGUUUAUAUAUAUAACUAUCUAGAAAUUGCUUGAAAUGUUCCUUUAUUUAUAGAUUCACUCAUCUACUUAUAACCACUAAGCGGUUUUGCUAGAAACUUAUUUAUUAAUAAGAAUUCAAGUUAAUGGCUUAGCUAGCGAGAAACAAUUGUGUGUAACGGGGAUAGCCGUUUCACGCAAGCUAGCCAAACAUAUAAUGAGACAUUGGAAGUGCCUCUGGACCAGGCUUCCCCAUAACCUAUUCUUUGCGAAUUAAUAAAUGAUUGAAGAAGAAGAAGAAGAAGAAGGAGAAGACACUUGGGGGGUGUAUUCAAUAUGAUUCUAGAGCAUUUUAAAAGAAUUUUUUUAAGUACUAAAUUUCAUGGAACUCUAUGGAAUUUUUAGAUUUUGCAUAGACUUGAAAAAAGUUCUUCAUAAUUUUGGGUAAAUUUUACUUGGGAGACUUUAGAAAAGCCCAAAGGAGAGAAAAAUUUUAAAAGAAGCCAAAAUGGACAAAUUUGCCCUUAUUUAUUUUUUGAUUUCCUAAGGAAUCCUUUACAUUUGCAUGUCUUUGGUUUGAAAGUUGAGAGGUUUUUCUGUCUUUUUUAAAAAAGCUUUGGCUUUUUCCAAAAGUGAAAGUUUUUUUAUGGGUAAAACCUAAAUUUACUAUUUUACUUUACUAGCCGCAGGUUUCCUAAAAUUCUGACUCUGCUACACAAAUUUAUUUUCUUCUCUCCUUUAAUCCCAACGUUUAUUUUUACUAUCAAUUUCAUUUUUCGUUAAUAUUUCCGUCAUAUUCUCCAUUAACCCAUGAGGUGGCAAUCAAUGAGCUUGGUCUUCACCUUCAGUGAUAUGAAAAGCUCUUGUUUUCAACAAAGAAAGGAAAAGGAAAAUGAAAUUUAGUAAAGUAAUUAAUUAAUUUAUAUAAGCUAAUUCUAGGGAUAUACAGAACUAAAAUUCAUUACAAAAAUUUACUUAAGAAUCAAAAUCAGAAUCAUAAAACCACGAAAUUCAUGGGUUCUUUGAAAGAAAAGUAAGUAAGAUAAAAAGAAUAUGCAUGUGGUCUCUCUGAUACAAAUGAAUUAAAAUCUUGUUAUUUCUAGGGAUAUACGAAAUUGAAAUUCAUUACAAAAAUUUACUUAAGAAUCAAAAUUAAAAUCAUAAAACCACGAAAUUCAUGGGUUCUUUGAAAGAAAAGUAAGUAAAAUGAAAAGAAUAUGCAUGUGGUCUUUCUGAUACAAAAGAAUUAAAAUCUUGUUUACCUGAUUGUGUAGAGUUUUUCUAUCGGUCGUUGUUUUCUUAAAUUAAAUCAUUAUGGUAAGAUCUAUGUUUCAAGUUGACAUUGUUUUUUCUUUGAUGCAGAGGUAUAUAGAGCAGCACAAUGAGGUUGAGCUCUCUGCAAUUUGUUUGUAAUUAAAUUUGCUUUAUUUUGUUAUGUUUUUAGAUUGUAACUUUUAUAUUAAUGCUUGAUAUUUGUUGUUUUGUCAAAAAAGUGUAUUAAUGCUUGAUGAAUUCAUUCAAUUUGCAACAUGUGUAUAUGAAUUGGGCCAAUCGUGAAUAAUUAAGCUCAAAAGUUUUUAAAUUUUAAUUGGGCUGAAACUUAAAAAAAUUGAAGAAGAAUAAAAAAAUUCAAUUGAGAUGAAGAGUCGGUCCAAACUGUAAACACCGAAACUGAAUUGGAUCUAAAUCAAUUCGAGUACCUGAAUCAGACCAGACCAAAUAUAUAGUUCCAAUUCCAGUUUUAAGUUGAGAUGAGAACCGUACCGUACCCAACCCUAAUUGAUUAUACUAAUUUGCUCAAAAGAAGAAGAAAAAAAGGGUGUUUUAAUCCCAUCAUCUCCUUAUUCUGCGUUUCAGACAUUGAGACCAGGCAGAGUUGGGUAAGCCCCUUCCACCACCUUCUUCUCCUUCUUCUUCUUCUUCUUCUUCUUCUUCUUCUUCUUCUUGUCAUUUAAUUCCAUGUAUUUUUUUUUCAGGUUGUGGAAGUAUUUUGUGAGUGGGGCGGAUUUCAGACUUCCGACGGAUUUCAGACUUCCGAUUUGGGGCUUUUUUCUUUACCCAAUGAGUGAAAUACUAAUUAAACAUUUUCCUGAAGCGAAGACUGUCAUUUUUGAGGAUGAUUUUCCCUUCUCAGAAUAUAUUUUGUCAGCAAAGAAGAGCUUUAAAUUCAUGGAUGAGUUGGACCGUAUUGAAAUUUCAACCAAAGAAGUCAUAGAAAGCAAAUUCGGUAGUGAUGUUGAAAAUCAUCUGGGGAUGCUGUGCUCAUUGAUACCGGAAUUCAUCCAUGAGGAGAAGUUUGGAGUAGAUUCUGUAAUGCUGUGAGUCCUUUUUUUAAAUAGUAAAUAAAUAUUUUUAAAAUUUGAAAGUAAAUAUAGAAAUGCAUACUGUCUUCCAACUGAAGAUAUCUUUCUUGAUUACGCCAUCCGGAGAUUCUGAAAGGAUGCUUGAAGAGAGGCAUGGACAUACGAUUGCC
rnacentral:lncRNA from 1 species